UAUAUAUUUUGUCAUUUUAUUUUAAUAGAUAUGUUUCAAUUCUCCUAAUGUGCUGUGGCUGUCUUGUAUUAAGUUUAAAUAAAAUUUGCCUACUUAUUUUCAUUAGAAUAACAAAUAAGAGUGUCACAUGCACCACACCACAUAUUCUAAUUUUUUUUUUAAACAGGCUCUUAUAUAUAGAUUUUAAAUUUAAAAUUCGAAAGGCUUUGUAGGCAAAUUGUUACGACAAACGCACAAACGGAAACAAAAUGACGAACACGAAAAACAAUCAAACCACAAACAAAAAAUAAAGAGACACAUCUAACACAAAUACCAUGUGAAAUGCUUAUAAUUAAAGUUGUUCAUAAAAACCAAAAAACCAAAAACAAGAAAAGUUGUUUUUUUUUUUUCCCUCAAAAAAAAGAAAAGAAAAGUUGGUUGGUAAAUUGCUAAAUAAUGGAGCAAUGGGAGGAAGGAAAUUAGCGACAAUUGUCACAACGUGGUAGGUUGUCUAGUUGGAGCAAAAUAGAAGAAUUUUUCAGAACCCUAAACGCACGGCGAGUAUCUUAGUGACUGAGAUUUGCUCGGUCAGAAAGUCCUAAGAUCUUCUUUGCUAUUUUGUUUUUUCAAAGAUCCAAUUAUUUCAAAUUGUAGUCUAGUUCAUCUUUUAAAUAAAUAAAACGAUAGUAUGCUAUUUUUUCAAAAAAAAAUUGCUAACCCAGGGAACAAAUAUUUCGUACAUAAGAAGAUACUGGGAUGAGACAACUAUAAAAUGCUUUUUGACCAUGCAAUUACUACACGUAUAUACAAGUAAAUUAUAAACAAAGGGACACAAUAUGCAUUGUGGUCCCAAAAGCUCACAAAAUGCUAGCAAAGAGUACACUUUAAUCACACAGCUCAAUAUGAGUAGUAAGUUAAAUUAUUGUUAAAAAAAAGGUUAGGUUAAAGGGGACAAAAACUAUAGGGAAUUAUCCUCUUAUAAUUAAUAAAUUAAUUAUGUACAAGUUUUGCGUCCCUAACCUAUUAAUUAAUUAAAUAUUAAAUAUUAAUAUUUACUAGCUUCGAGCUGCUUCGCGAAGGACUUAGAAUUUCGAAAAACUAAUGAAAAUGAGAAGUACUGCACAGGCGCCGGCUAAUAAAUAAUCUUGUGACAAUGACUAUCACCUAUAGCAAGUGGCAAAGGGUUUGAUGGUUGGUAUUGAGGUCCCAAGUUCGAAUCCUAGUUGAUUCACAUUUCUAGCUAAAUUUAUUUCUAAAUGAAAUAAACGAAACGGAUAGCAUGUUACCUAUCUCUCUCAAAAAAAUAAAAGAAAAAAAAAGAAAAAAGACAAUGGCUAUCACCUUCACUUCGUAAUUGUGGUUAGAAGUUUAUAUGUUUUUCUUUGAUAAAUACAAAGUCCCAUCAUAAUAAAAAGAACUCAAAAUAUUUAAAAAAGAACUUAAUACUAUUUUGGAUUAAUUGCAUACGACUUUUUUUUUUUUUUUUUUUUUUUUUAUGAUUUGUUAAUAUUAGAAAAUUAUUUAUUUUGUAAUAGCAGAUAAAUAAAAUGUCAAUUUUAUCAUCACAUUGUUAUUUUCUUCCUCUUUAAAACNUUUGUAAACAUAAUAAAUUAUAAAUAUAUUCAUAUAAAAUUUAACUUUUUUAUAUUAUUUUUAUAAAAAUUUAGUGAUAUUAAUAUUUAUCCAUAUGAUUUGUUAAUAUUAGAAAAUUAUUUAUUUUGUAAUAGCAGAUAAAUAAAAUGUCAAUUUUAUCAUCACAUUGUUAUUUUCUUCCUCUUUAAAACCCAAGCAAAUCCACUAUUAUUACAAUCUCUUCUCUUACUCCUUUUCUCCUAAAUAUUUUUUUUUGAGCAAAAUAAGAAAAAAUUAUAAAGGAAUUGAAUUAAAAAAAAACACAUAUUCGACAUGCACGAAGUAACACGUGUCGUGAAUUAAUGGGAUGGGGAAAUUCUAGUAACGGAUUCGAAACUAGCGCAGAGGAGAGGAAGAGGAAAAAAAAGAAGAGUUUCCAUUGUUAGAAUUUUGAUUGAGAGAAGAAGGUAUAAUAUAAGAGGAAUUUAUGUCAUUGACUAAUCAGGAUUAAAUAUUUUACCCAUGGUUAAUAAAAUUUUUCUAACGGACCCUAAUGAUUGAGCCAUAUUUGAAACCUUUAAAACUUUUGUAGGGAUAACAUAAAAAAAUUGUACUUUGUAGUGAUAUAUUUACAAUUCGUUAUGUUUAUAGAAAGCUGUAUGCAAUUAAUCCUAAUAUUUUUAUUCUAAGAAAACAAAUAGUUCUCUUACCCUAUCUUCUGUAAAUACUUCUUACAAAGUUUUUGCCCUCAUAAAAGUUACUUAUGAAGUUUCUUUUUUCCCUGCAUCAUAGAUGUUCUGUGUUUUUGGUUUAUUUUUUGUUUUUUUUUUUUUAAAUGGUUGUUGCUACCAAGGGUCAUUCACUAUUUGAUCAUCAAUUGGAUGACAUUUCUAAGAAAUUAAUUAGAAGAUUUUAUCUUAUUUGUUGAAAGAGAAACAAGAGACAAUAAUAAAGUUUUAUGAAAAUAAAUUAGAAAUUUUGUAAUUUAAAAAUUUUGCAUGUAUAUUUAAAAAUUUGUAACAAAUUAUCUACCUAGCAAAAAAAAUGCAGUUAACAAGAUUAUACAUGUGCAUACCCACAUUAAUAAAUCAAUUGCGGACAAAAGUGAAAAAUGUUAAUAAACUGUUUAUUUUUAAUUUUUAAUUAAAAAUUAAGCAAUUUUAGUCAACAAAUUAAUAGUUUUAAUACUUUUAAUCAUAUUUUAGUAAAUACAAAUAUACUAAUUUAUAGUUAAUAACUAAUAGUUAUUAAAUAUGAUGAAUUUUUAAUCUAACUAAGUAUAAAAAUUCAAAUAAAAAAGAUUGAAAGCUGAGGGGUUCUCAAUAUAAAAAAUAAUAAAAGUUGAGGGAUCCAUUUCAAAUGGCGAAUAGUUGAGGGGUCUCCAUACAAUUUUACCUAGAGAAGAGGCUUCGAAUUGGUGAUAGGGUGAAGGGUUUUGGGUCGGAGAGAGAGACGAGGAGGGAACGGAAUGGAGUUAGCCGUUAGAACCCUUUUCAAUUUGAAUCCCAAGGUUCGGGAAACUCCCAAAUUUCCAAUUUUUCCUUUGAAAUUGAUUAAAGUGAUUUACAUUUUUCGUUUUUUUUUCUCUCAUUUUAUAGUCCAAAUUUUUGGGUUUGUGAUGCUGGUUAGAGCAUUCAAAGGUUUUUUUGUUUAUAUAUAUUUUAUAGCUAUUAAUCUCUGCUUUUGUUCCUUCUUUAUGAAGAAAUGAUAAUGUUUGGUGAAUUCAUACGUGCACUUUUUACUUUUUUUUUGGGGGAUUAGGACAAUUAGGUCUUUGAAAGGUGAGGUAUUUUGAGUAGAAAUUUUUUAAAAAUACUUUUUUCAGGGAUUUUAGUUCUUGAUCAAAGUGGAAGGUGAUUGGUUCGAAUGAUUAAGGCUCUAAUUCUUAAAAAUAAGGAAACUUGUAUUGGAAAAAUCAAGGUGUGGAAUUUACAAAUUAUUUUCAAUAGAAAAAGAAUAAUUUAGAAAAGUUAGAGUAGUGGAUCAGGUUUAUUAAUGAAAAAUAAUAGUUUCGAGCCCCCGCGAAUGGUGUAAAAUGAUCUUCUGCUUGCUUACUCCCCAAAAUACAAUCAAAACCCACCACUGUCGGAAGUAACAUGCACUGUUGAAAUCCUGUGAACUUUGAAUGCAGGGAACCUCUUGUUGUUCAAAGUAAAAUCAGUGGAAAAUUGGAAAUCGUAUCUCAAGGAUAUGAGAGGUUGACGAGAGAGUUACCGUAAGUGCCAAUCUCGUGAACGAAAAGAAUAAGGGAUAUGAAAAAGUUCCUACAAUCAGUCAAAUAAUCAAUAAGAUAAUGUAUUAAACUUAGGGAAGCUGUGUAUAUGUUGUUCUGAUUGGUGCGGGGUUUACUCUCGUAACCACCUUGUUACGACACUCUGAUUUAUUGGAGAUUAGCGCAACUUAAGUGAGGCACGAUUGAGUUGUCUGACUAAGAUAUAACAAAUAUUAUACAAAAAUGGAAAUAUUUACAGUAGUCUUGACAUGCUUGCAUUUCUUUUGCAUACUCUAUACAAAAAUGUUGACAGUUUUGUAGUGCAGUGAUCAAAUUCCACAAUGCCGCUAAUACGCUUGUGCAGUUUUCUAUUUCAGUGAACCUUUCUUGUUGUCUAUGGAAAUAUGAUUGGACUAUGUGAUUAGUUCGUUAUCUUGUGAUUUAUUCUCCAUUUUUUUUGUUUUUAACUGUAUUUUGAGGAAUUCUGCCUACAGAUAGUUAGUGAAGGACGGAGACUGGAUUUGCAUAAUCAAGUUCUGUUUUCGCACAGACCAUGGUCCUUUGUUAACUUGUCAACUUUUGUUGAAGAAGGCUCCAAAAGGUGUUAAAAGUCGCCGAAUAUUUCUUUCUUUCCUCUUUGAAUGUGUCUCUCUGUUUGUCUGUUAUGAUCUCAUUGGAGCAGAAAUUACCUCAAUACUAGUUUGGUAAAAAGAAACGGAUCUUACCUGAUGCACGAUGCAUUCUGAAGUGGGCACUCUAACUUGUAAAUUUGGCGUUAUCUACUUAAUCUUAUAGUGAAAAGAUAGGUAGUGAAAUUGAAACUUUUAAAGCUCAGGCAAACACUUCAAAAUGCAUUAUAGUUCAGGUAAGGUUGGUUCGUUUUUCGCCUAUCAGUUUUGAGAAUUGGGAUUGCCUUAUAACUCUCUUAUUGAAAGGAUGCGUUUCCUUGAAUAUGUUUACUUUGACCUGAACUUACACGUUGUCUAGUGAUACAAGGUUGAUGACAUGUUCACUUCACCAUAUAAGAUGACUAAAGAAGUGUCUAUAUACAAUUAAAUAUGCACUGGAAAUAUUAAUUCUAACUAUUGCUUUGGUUUCUUAAAUAAGACCAGAGUAGCUAGUUAUGGAUGUUAGGCUAUGUAAGGGCUCAUUCGCAUCAAUUUUAGAACAAUUGUGGCUAAAUGAAUAAUGAUUUACCGAAAUAUACACAUCAUAGUUUUAUCUGUUACUACUAAUACAGAUGGUUUUUGUUGACUUUUUUAGUGUUAUAGCUUAACAUUGACUUGCAGUAUACUAUUUCUUGUGCAGACAUAGUAGCUGCAAAAUCUUCAGUACAACUCAAGUGGUAUCUCCAGUACUAAGUAUGCUUUUCUCUCUUCUAAUUACUCCCAAAUUUGUAGAUUUUGAAACUUGAGGUCUAAAUCUCACCUUUGCAUUUUAAUCAUCAGAUUCAGAAAAUCCUGAUGCUUCUGUAUCUCACUAUGAGGACUUCAGUGUUGCUGUUAAUGCUCGUGAUGAGAAGGAGAUGAAGGUAGAUGAUCAAUUUUUCCCCUUUAUUUAGAAAAACACUAUGUUUUCAUCUAAGUAGUUUUUUUUUAAAAAAAAUAUGUGAGUUAUUACUGGAAAAUUUGCUACUAAUUUAUCGUGCUCAUAUGAUGUGCAGAUUAGAGUUACUGUAUCCAGUUCAAAGACGCAAUUUAUAUUUGAUGAUGUUUUCUCUAAGUUAGUUGCUGCGGCGCAACCAAUUCCUGGUUUUCGAAGAGUGAAAGGAGGUGCAUCACCUGAUAUCCAUAAAUAUGUUAUUAGUUAUUGAUUAUUUUUGUGGAAAAAAGAAACUAACAUCUGUUUCUCGUGUUAUUCAUUAUCUCUGGUAUGGGGAAAACUCGGGUAAUGCAGGGAAAACUCCUGAUGUAAGAUUCUUCUUCAUUUCUUUUCUUUUCUUUUUUUUGAAGUUUACUCUAUUUACGAAGCAUCUUAUCGUUAUCAUCUAAUAAGAACUGAUUCAAAUUUUUAUCCUCUCGAACUUGUAAUUCUUUCAACUUUCUUUUUUCGUACUGCGUUAUGCUGAUCAAUUUACCAAGCACACGAAGAGAGAGAGUUAGGAAUCUAAUACAAGAAGGGCUUAAAUUCAAUUCCGUCCUUCUUUCAGCUGUGAAAAUGUAUCACCAGAUUCAUUUUAAAGGUUCAACCUGCACAGUUUAGUCCCUAAAAUUUGAUCAAAUUUCAAUUUCAUCCUUGAACUCUCAAUUUUAACCAAGUCUAAAGACAGUACUAACGUGUUGGAUGACAGACUAGCAGGACUUAAAUCUAGGCUAAACCAAUUUCAAGGACAAUUAUUACAAAUAAAAUUAUGAGGAUCAAGGAUGAAAUCGAAACCAAAGUGAAAUUUUAGGGGCUGAAUUUGUAAUUAGUUCUUUCCUUGAAUACAUUUGGAUACCUGAAGGGCUCAUUAUUAAAUGGAGAGAUUUAUUGUCCUUGGAAUUGAAAAAACAAAAAUACAAGCAUGCAAGAAUAGAAUGCUGAGUCUCUGGUACUAUCUAUCUCUUUAUUAAUACUAAAGUUGAAUUCUGAAUUACUGUCUCUCUUUCUCAUAUUACAGAUUCCGAAAGAUAUUCUCCUACACAUAAUUGGGCCCUCCAAAGUCAAUAGGCAGACAAUCGAGAAAAUCGUUAACUGCACCGUUGCCGAAUUCGUUGAAAAGGUACCGAUGUGCAACAACUCAAAGUGUAGGGACCAAAGUGAAACCGGAGCAACAGUUUACGGACUAAUGCUGUACCCACAUACAAACUAUCUCUUUCUCUCAAGUCGGCGCCCGAGCCUUUGUAUCGAAGGGUCUCGGCCCCCUGCUAUUUGAUGAACCACUAUAUUCUUAACAACUUUAAGAACUUCAAGCUGAUAUAUAGAAUGAUGAAUUGCAUUCUAAAAUUCUGACUUUUUUCCUCUUUGUACUUUCCUUUGCACAAAAUACUACAGGAGGGAAUUAAGGUCAGUAAAGAUUUAAAGGUGGAGCAGAAUUUGGAAGCUCUUGAAGCAGCAUUCCAACCAGGAAAAGACUUUGUUUUCGACGCAAUUGUUCAGAUACAAGAAACAAAUUCGACCGAACAUUGAUUUCUUUUUGCCCUUUUUAUUAGUGAAAACUCUCUAUACGAUUCAAGGACGGAUUUAUUUAGCGUAGCAAGAUUGUUUAGAGAAGAGGGAAUAGCAACACUCGAGAUCAUGUUGCAGUUUUAAUUUUCAUUGAUGUAAUUCUGUUUAAUGUAUGCUAAUGUAAUAUCAUUUCAUCUCUCAUUUGCUGCAGUGUUCAAUACGAAAUUUGAAGGAUCAACAUGCAGCAAUCUCAAAACUUUUUGAGUAACAUGAAUUGAAUCAAAAUUUGGCUAGUUUUGCCCAAACUCUCAAUUUGGAUUUGACUAAUUUUAAUCAGAAGUUAAUUUACUGAUCUGUAACCUUUCAGUGGUUGAAUAAUUUCAAAUUUGAAUGGGGUCUACAUGAAUAGAACACUGAACCAAAUCUCAAAUUAAGCCAAUCAUAAUAAUGCUGUGUCAUAAUGCAAUUUUAAAAGUGUGAGAGGGCAGUGGGCAACUGGAUAAGUUUAUGUAGAAAGGGAAAUAUGUAAUGAACAUUCAAAAUUAAGUAUAUAGGCUAUAAUACAGUGCAUGACUCAAAAACUCUUAGAUUCUUUACAUAUUAUCAUGUGGAACAUACAUGAACCAAUCUUUAUGUUCUUUGCAUAGGUAAAGUAACAUCCUCUCCUUUUGUUGUAUUUUUGCUGAUGCAGCUGGCUAGUGGCCUGCACCUCUAGGGCUAGGCCCGGCAGGCAACCUCGCGAUCCACGUCGCAACUCUAAUCUUUUGAUUCUUGAUUACGUGAAAAAGAUCGCUCUCUCCAUCGGACAUUGGCCUAGCCGCUUUGACACUUGGUAUGCUUAUUACAAUGACAACGAAGAUGGCGACGAUGAGAAUAAAAGUAGAAGCCCUUCGACAGUUCAUCGCUCUCAAGCUUUUGUUGCACCGAAAGAUCGAAAAAUCGAAAGAUCAAAGGCUAAGAGCUAUAAAGGUAGAAAAUUAGGUUAUGAGAGAGGUUUACAAGAGAGAGAGAAAGAGGUGUAAAUGUUGUGAUUUGUGGUAUGGUAUAUGCACAAAGAUGGUUGCAUGAGAGGGUAUAUAUAAGGAAAAAAAAGAUGAGGUUCUUUGAUUAAGUCCUUAAUGAUAUCUAAUUUGAUUACAAAUUGUAUGAGAACUUAGAGUUUCACAUGCUAAAGAAACGUAGGAAAUGGUCAAAUAUGUUGAAAACAAUGGUUUAGAACGUUGAAGUAUAAUGGUAACAAGUUGUUUACUUUUUCAUUACAAGAGAUCAUGGAAGCAAAUUUACAAAAAUGCCCCUAACUUCUUGAUUUGAAUAGCGGUCAUGAUUUGACCCAAUCACCAAUUAGGUCUUAGAUUUUAGGGGCCUAUUUGGAUCCUAACCCUAGGGUGCAUCAAAUGAAACGUAUCCCAAAAAUAAAUAAAAAACAUCUACAUAACUAAUAUGUAUGUUAAUGAUGUUGAGGUACUAAUUAUCCUCACUUUUCAAGGGUAAAGAAUAAUCAUCUUUUAAAUCAUAAUCAAUUUAACUUAAACCAUAUUUCUCAAACUGCAUAUAUUACAUGCUUGUGGCCUUGUGAGGGUCAAAUAAAGGUUGCAUUGUAAAGUGGGAACAUAUUAUGCCUUGGUUUGCUGUGUACUUUGUUUUGAAUCUCUUAUGUAGGAGAGUGCUAAAAUAUUCUAUAUUGACUCGAAAAGUCAACAACGUGAAACUUGAUCCAAUCGAAAGUUCAAACAACUCCUAAAUGAGAGCAAUGUGAAAUCUCACAUCUGAAUGAUUUACAACUAAACAACUUGGAGUUUAAACAAUUGAAUGGUCCACAAUUUUAUACAAUCUGAGCACGUCCACUCAAGUACAACUCAAACGAUCCAAAGUUUUAAACAAUGCAUCUUGAGAAGUUCUAGUCAGACCAAACAGUCUCUUAUUAAGUUACAAAGAAAACAAUGUGUAAAAGUGUAUUAAAGUCAUUUUACUUAUUAAAGGAAAAAAUGGUUGCAUUGUACUUUUCUUGAUUCUAAAUGUUGAACUAUGACUAAAGCAGGUGUUCAAAAUAUAUUGUGUGUUGCCAAGGAGCCAAAGAGUUUAAAUGUUUGUCCUAGAGGGUUGUAAUAUGACACUUAUCUAAAACAAAAAAAAAAAGAGAAGAAAAUUCAUCCAAAUGACUAAGUUAUUUUUUGAAGUCAAGCAAAAAUUGUAGAACAAUAGGUGCACUACUCAUAGCAACCAUUGAGAAUGAAGCAUCUCCAAAUUUCUAACUUGUCUUGGCCAAAGCUUUUGGAAAGGCCAAAAUUCAAACCACCCCUUGAGACAUUUGUGCGAAAAAAAGACGCGUAGGCUGCGUACGAUCUUUUUAAUAACUUAUCAACUACAUCUGUUUGAAUUCGCUUUAUACUACGGCGAGUUUCAGAUAAAAAUAGAUUAAAGGGUUGUUUAGUUAUGAUUUGACCCAAAAUAAUCGGCUAGUGGAACAUUUGUCUUACGUAAUGUAGUUACCUAGUUGUUUUGGAUUUUUUAUAAAAGCAAAAAUAAUAUAUAAAAGCAGAAACAGUGAUUGGUUGCUUUUAUUGGAAUUACUUUUUGAACAAUAAAUAAUUCGCGUAUAGCUUUGUUCAAUAGGCGCUAAAUUGGAUCUACUAUCAAAAUUUUAUAAGCUAUAUAGAAUGCGAAUUUUCAAUCCAAACUCACAUUACUUGGUCUUAUAGAUAAAGUUGGUGAGAUAUAGUAGGGGUACAUUGACACACCCACAAAGCCAAUUUGACAAACUCUACAAGCGAAUCCAAAUUUGUUAGCACAUGUUAAGAUAUUGGGUGGACUUUUGUGUUAAUGUAUUUUCAAGCAUAUUAUCUUAUUAAUUUGACUCUGAAUAAAUCAAAUUCCUUAUAUAUGACUACGCGGUUUAAAGGUAACACGAGUUUCCGGUCCGCAACGUUAUUAGAUGGCCUAGCAAGUUAUUUACUCUCAAUUUUUUAUUUUUAGAACUCUCAGGAAAUUGCUGUGAAAAUACAGGGGUUUUUUUUUGCAUUUGGCCUCCUAAAAAAAAAUUAUUUAAAAAAUUACCUCAGCAAAUUUAUAUUUGUAAAAGUGGCCCUAGUCGUGCCACGCAAACGCCACGUCAGCGCCACGUGCGCGGGGCUGGACUAGUUUGUUAAGUUGAAUACGGUGAACCAUUCACUGUGUCUAAACACGGUGAUUGAUUUAUAUUAUAUAGGUAUUGCGAGCAAAAUUAUAAUAUAUAUGUAUUGCGAAAAUAUAUAAGAAAAAUAUAUGUGGGUGAUUGAACACGGUGAAUGAUUCACCGUGUCUAGAAAAAUAUAUGUAUUGCAAAAAAAUAUAAGUAUUGGAAAGAAAAAAGAAGGGAAAUAUAGGUAUGGAACAUGGUGGAUCAUUCACCGCGUUUGAACACGGUGAAUGAUUCACCGUAUUCAACUUAAAACCAUGGCGCUAAUGUGGCGUUUGCGUGGCAGGAAUAAGGCCAAAUUUGUAAUUAUAAAUUUGAUAGGGCUAUUUAUGAAAAAAAUAUUUUGAAAUGGCUAAAUGCAAAAAAUAAAGAAGAAAACACCUGAUGCCAAAGGUCAAGAUUUUUUUUUUUUUAAAUUUAUUUAGUACCCCAAAGAAGGAUGCACAUCCCCGACAACUUUUACAAGCGGGUCUGGUCAGGAGAACAGUUGUGUGUGCUCUGCGUUAGCAAACUUGUGAUCUGUGACCACGUGUUCUUGUGGUGUCUCUACUUCCGCUGCAUGCCUUUUUACUCGACCAACGACUCACCCACAACAUUGCCCCGAAAAUGGUGUAACAGACUUUUGGAAGAGCUCAUUAAUAAGGCUGACAGCCGUAGUUGAAUAAAAGAGCUCACCAAACUUUCAACUAUACGAUGGACAACCUGGCUAGAGAGAAAUCGUGCCAUCUUCAAGGAAGGCGAGGUUCAAGUCCGACUCAAGUUCUACCAAACAAACAAUCGCUAGUUUUUAUCCCCUCUUUUUUUAGAGGUUCUGGCUGUAUCUGUGUUCUUAAGUUUAUACUGCUAUGUGAAUGAAGCGAAUAAUUUACUAUCUGUUUCACAGAAAAAAUUUUUCUCCAACAAAAGAAUAGAAAAUACACGACUCAAGUUCUACCAAGCAAACAAUCGCUAAUUUUUAUCCACUCUUUUUCUAAAGGUUUUGGCUGUAUCUGUAUUCUUAAGUUCAUACUACUAUAUGAAUGAAGCGAAUAAUUUACUAUCUUUUUCACAGAAAAAGUUUUUCUCCAACAAAAGAAUAGAAAAUACACGAUACCGUUAGACGGAACAAGUGGUUACGAAGCUAACGAGCAACAAUUCAAUCAAGCAAAGGAAACAAGCAACCUACAUGGUAGUAACUCUUCAAAAAAAAUUUAAGAUUGAAUUUAUCAUUUACGCGAUAAUCACAUUGUAUCACAUUAGAUUAUCUCAUAUCAUAUAUCACGAGAAGGAAUACUUAGAUAAGUAACAAUAUACAUAGACCUUGGCAACAUUAAGGCGCAUCUCCUUUAAUAAAAUAAUUAAAGGUACAAAAAUUUCUCCAGUGCCACAACACGUUUUCCCCAACAAAGAUGCGGUCCAACGAUGGACUCCUAACCAUGGUCAAGCUCUUUUGAGACUUCAGGAUAGGAUGAAAUCAGUAGUCUUUUACUUUUCUUCGCAGCUCGUUGAGCUCGCUCUCGAUUUCUACGUCUUUGAAGGAGUAUGCCGCUGUUCUACCUGGAGGUAGUUCUCCUUUCUGCAGUUGAUAUGGCCAAAAAAGAAAAAAAAGAAAAAAAAGGUGAGAGGGAUGAUAACAUCUUAAUUCCCAGCUUAUGAAAUUAUUUAUUAGAUAUUAAAAAGAGGAGAGAAUAAAAAGAUGUUAAAUGAAACAAACAAGCAAUCUCCGGAAACUAGUGGUAGCGUUUAGUGAUUUACUUAUUAUGAUAUAAAAUUUUCUGCACAUUAGAAAUCGUAGCUGAUAAGCUAAACAGUUUUUCAGCGGCAGAAAAUAAUGAACAAGGAAGAGAGUUUUCUGCAAACUUGGAAUUUUCUCUACUUCCUUGGUUUCGCCACUUAACAGGUUUACAAAUUCUUUUAUGAACUACGAUGCUCGCGGUCCACCUUGUGAUAAAUGGACACAUUUAAUAGAGUUCCCACCAGGGGCAUUCUAGACCAUGAAGGGUAUUUUAACACUACAACUGCAAAAAUGAAAAAGAUGGGCCAAAGUUGCAAAGUUCCAGGGGUGGAUUUUGUGAUGGAAAGUGACUCGGCAGAUGAUAUAUUUGUUUAAAGGAUCUUGUGUCGCAAACACCAUAGAGGAAUUUACUCAUAAUUUUCAGAGGAAUAGAUCGUACCAAUGAGCUCCCUGACAACUCUCUCUUCAUUUUCGCAAGAUCAUCAUCCACCGAUGAGCUCUCGAGCAAUGCAAACUGCGAAGAUAAGCAAAAAUUUGAGUAGAUAAACAUAAUAGUUUGCUACAAAAAAGAAAAUAAAAUGCUACCUUUCCUUCUAGAUCGUCGGUGGUUAAUUGAUUAAGGGCUUCUGCUUGGGAUUCCAUCGCCAUAACUGUUGAGCCAAACAGUAGUAGUAAUCAACAACUCAGUUUGUGUAAAUCAAAUACUACAUCAGAUCAUUUGGGACCUCGUAUACAUGCAAACUUCCUUUCUCUUUUUCUUUUUCCACACAAAUUGACCAUUUAUAUGUGCGUGCACAUUUAUGAAAUUGUGAAAGCUGGUCGUGUGGUGAUUCUUCAUAAUUAGGGAUGAAUACACCCAGACUAGUUAUUGAAAUAUUAUAGCAUGAAACUUGUUAUAAAGGUAAUAUAAGGUUACUUCUCCUGAGAAACAGAUAAAUAAAACACAUGCCUACAAUGAAGUACAGAUAUAGCGUACAUUAGAUUUAAAUGCAGCUAAAUAUUAUGCAUUUUAAUCGGGUGAAAAUGCAAGGGUCCUAAUUUAAGGCCCAAGAUUGAAUAAAAUCUGGAUAGGUGUUAUAACGAUCAAAUAUAAAUUAAAGGUCAAUCUCUGUUUCAGUCAAUUCAGAGUGGGCCACAAAAAAUCAAAGAGGAAAAACUCAAGACCACAAAUUUUGAGAAAUUCACUCUUCCGAGAGAAUCAAGGAAGCAUCCAUGAACAAAAUAGGUCUGCCUCUUUUAUAUAAUAAGAUCGUUGUUCUUCUGAUACUUAUUCCUAUGGAAAAAUUAUUUUGCUAUAAAUUCUCCAUAGAGCCAAAAGAACAUACCCUUUUCCUCCAUCUUCUCAAACGCUGCAAGAGCACUACUCGUAUUAACGUUCCCCAGCAUUUCACUCACUUUUGUUGCAGUUCUAAACGAAAAUUUAUACAAGUCUUCUGUAAAUACCAACUUGAAAGUAAAAAGAGUAGGAAAUUCAAUAUAAAGAAAAGAAAGAAUACAGACUUCGCUGAUUGAGCACGGGCUUUCAAAGUAUCUUUCUUUGAUUUAGCUUCCUGUAUUUUGCUCUCUAAAAGCUAGAGUAAAAAAAUAACCAGCAAUGAAAGAGCAUUAAUAGUUGUUAAAUAUAAAUAUAUAUAAAUACUGUUAUCUAAUAGCUUAGGCUUUUAGAAUGCAAUAGUUGUUUCACAUGGUAUCAGAGCAGGAGAUCCUGAAUUCGAGUCACACUAGGCUUCUAGCAUUAUUAAUUUCCUCCCAUUUAAUUCAAGUCCACAUCAUGGGCCUUGCAAAAAGUCUCGAGCCCAGACGUGAGGGACUGAGGGGAAGUGUUAAAUAUAAAAAUAUAUAAACACCGUUCUCUAAUAGCUUAAGCUUUUAGAGUGCAACGGUUGUUUCACAAUAGUUAUAAUUGUUGUCUCAAAAGCUGUUCUCAUAACAAUGCCAGUGAUAACUUGGAAAAACUUCCUAACUAUAUCAACUCGGAAUAGACAUAUCUAUUAUUUCAUCAACUAAAAACUCAUCCUCUUGUGCAUUUUCUUCCAAUAUUCUUUUCUUUAGACUUCUAAAGUACAUUCAAAUAAAAGUAUUAGAAAUUUUGGAGGAAAAGAAAGAUCUAGAAAAAGAUGCCAUAGGGCCAUACUAACAGUUUUUGCAAAGUUCAACUUGAUGGAAGGGAGUCUAAUUAUCAAGUGAUGAAACAAUAGAACAAGGAAUAACUAUUUGACAAAGCUUACUCGAGUAUUUGAUACAAGAUUAUCAACCACACUCUUCUGCUGAUCAAGCUGAGCCUUCAAGGAGGCAGCAUUGUCCUGAAUCGCAUGAAUAAAGGAGCAAUUAGAGUCUUGGCAUUUAAUAUUAGUGUUAAUUUCAGAAAAUUAGUGAUUGUUAGAUUAAUUAUCUCCUAGAAACCUCUACUGACAUGCUCAAAGAAUAUCCGACACCAUCACUGAUGGUAGACAAGUAACAGUAUAACCAAAUGCACAGUUGCCUGAGAUCCUUGAAAUCAACAAUGUGUAUUUAUAGGAAUAGAAAAACCACAUUUAUGUGCCUGAUUUUUGUGUCAUGAAAUUAUUUGAGAAAUAUCAUAAUGAUAUUCUUACCAGCCAAGAAAUGUAAAAUCUUUCUGUGAAGAAAUCAGAAAUAUAACCUAUUCUAUCCAAAAUGACGACAGCAUUAAAAACAAAAGGCAAAGAAAAGGAAGCUUGGGAAUUAGUGCAAAAUGAUCAGAAAAUAAGAAUUUACAUUACUCUAGAUAUCUAAAAACUUUCAGCCACAAUAUUUCAUUUUCUAAGAAAUGCAUGCAUAGAUCCAUACAAACGUACUUGCAUGAAAUGAUUGGUCUAAAUACUCAAAAAAAAUUUGCAACAUGUUGGUGCAAGACCAAACUUUUGCCACUGGACAAAGCUAUGGCACAUUUUCUUAGAAGACAAAAGAAUAAGAAGUGGAUUAUGACUAAUACCAGAAUCAUUAGUACUUCAACUCCUAAUUAAUAUGCCCAAUACUGACAAAAAAAUCUGCUUAAGCUUCUAAUCAUUUACUGCUAUCUUCACUUACAUUACAAAAGAUUGUUCAGUAAGGUACCACAUCAUACAGUAACAUAGUAGCACAAGAAAUUUCAGUGCCAACAGUAACUGCUAGGAGUCAUAAAAGGUGAUUGUGUGACUUAAAUAGUUUGUUUUCAAAACUUUAAACAAAAAAGAAAAAAUCCUGCAACUUCUACAAGAUACCUACAGCAUAAGAUUUACGCCUUUUGAGGGCUUCACGAGCAAGAUCGUCAUCUCCUUUCUGAAGUGCAAGUUGUGCCCUUCGAUACCUGCAAAAAGGAAAAUUCUUACUUUUCAAACUUUAGAUAUUAGAUACAUAACGGCUGAUAGAGAGCAUUUAAAGAUAACAUCACCACUCAUCGGAAGCUUGCUGUGCAGCUUUGUAUUUGUUCUCCAGCCGCUUCUGGGAUGCCAAUACCUUGAACACAGGGAGCCCAGAUGAACAAGAUUUUCUUUCAUAAACGUAAUAAAAUAAAUGUUUGAAUAACAAAUUUUGGUACAUAUUACAGUAAUAGGCCAUAAGAAAUAGUAAAGUUAGUGGGAAAAAUAACUUUAAUUUUAGUUCUUUUUAACUGAAAAGUUCAAACAGCUUCUCACUUGUAAGCAUCACAUGAGAGCACGAGCACCUUUUUAUUAAAAAAAACAACUAAAAAAAUUAACAGCUUCAACAAAUAAUGGAUAAACAUAUCUAUGCCAUGUUCUAAGAAUAUGGAAGUACUAAAUUAGACACGCUGAGAUUCAAUAAUUAAGGUCGCAUAAUGAAGAAAUAUUGGAGUAGUACAAAUGUCCUGAUCACUAUAAAGGCCAUAUCAUAUGGUGCGAAAUUAUGUAGACAUGAAAUGACCCAUGCUGGUUGUGCAAGCACAUUUCAGUUUAGGAAAAGCAUUUCUCAUCAUGCAAAUUAAAAUAAGUGUCUACUAAAGUUGAGUUAUAAUAUGCUGACUGAAAUACCGUAUAGUUUGCGUUGUAUACAUUUCUUUUCGUUUGUGAACAAUACAUUUUUUCAUAUAUCUAUGGAUGCCCAAAACUUAAAAUCUACUUGAAUUAAUAAAAUUUGCACCUAGUCCGAGCCAAAUGUCAACUCCUGCAUGAUAUCAUAGCAAUCUUUGGUGGUAAAACAUUCAUAGAUACAUCUUUAAAUGCACUGAAUACAUCUUUAAUAGAUAAAAACACAUCUACAUGAACACAUGCAAAUAGAGCAGGAUGAAGAGAAAAGGAGGAUAGUGGUGAAAUUUAGUACGACAUCACAUGGUCUGGCACCCAUGUUAAAUUGGAAGUGUCAAGGCUUCCGUAAAAAUUUACACCCACCAAAAACUAUUCGGGAAGAGUAAAAAAGUAGCUUAAGGCAUAUAAAAGGUUAGAAGGAAAAAACUUAUCUUAGUCACAAUCUGUGCUGAUACUAAGCAUUAGAAAAAAGAGAUACCUGUGCAGUAGCUUGGCGCAUCUUCGUCAAGUCAUCAUUCAUCUCUAGAACUGCUUGAUCCAAGAUCUUUUCUGGAUCUUCAAAGGUGCUUAAGAGCGCAUUGGCGUAGGACUGCAUAGAUAUAUAAUAUAGCAAUCAAAAUUUUUAACUUAAAAAAAUGGAAAAUAGAUUAGAUACAUGUAUAUGCAGUCAGGUAUUGAACACCAUAUUCUCACCUUAACUACCCUAGCUAGUCGCUCAAAUAGGUUCAUCCGGGUACCAAGAGCACCGCAUUUCAUUCUGUUGAAAUUGGAUGUCUGUAUUUGCACAGCUCUUAGGGAAGCAACUAUAAAAGAAAAAUAUUGAGAAAGAGGAAAAUCAGAGGCCAAUGCAAAAUGUUAGAUCCAUUUAACCCUACAUAUUCAUUUUCUUAACCUAUUCACAACUUCUAUAUUCACAAGAACAAUUAUAAUGGAGUAUGAAAUUACAAAAUCAUACAUGCAUCUGGACAUGGACAAAUAGAACUAAGCACUUAACCGUGCUGUAGAACCAAGGAAAUGAAGAAAACAUCAUGGCAAGAAAGAGAACGUUCAUUAAAGGAUACCCUGAAAUUGAGUUUCUUUUUGCCCUUUGACCUUAUUCUUCUUUUCUCCCAGUUCUAUCUUCUCCUCCAUUCCUCCUCUCUUCUUCUAUUUUGCACAAAAGAACAUCAUUCUCAUGAAUAAGUUCUUCAACUUUAUUUAUCCCAAUAACUAUGUACGACCAUCAAUCCAUGAUCAACAACUUGCCAAUUCACCACUCAGGACAUCUAAGCACCCUACACACCUGACGUUACAGCAAAGGAUAGCUUUAACCUCGUCACCAACAAGAUUUAGUAAGCGCGAGGAAAGUGGUUUCCUUACGAAGGUCCUACAAUAUGAUUCGUCGGUUUGCUGCAUACAUCAUAAUAUGAGUUCUCUCAACUUGAAACUCUACAAUUGACCAGCCUACUAUAGAGCCAAACUAAGUGUACCAGCAUUUGUUCACAAUAUUGCAUCUUUCAAUAGUGGAGACUUUACACUGACAAUUCUAGUGUUUCAAGAGCUUGUUUUGAUGAAAAUCGGAAAGCUUCAUCCUUCAUUAUUUCUAGUUAAACCAAGAAAUGAAGAGGACCAAAUCAUUUUCAUCCCAACCAUUCAUACAUAGCUUCACGCAUUCUUCAAAAAUUCUUGCCAUAUUCUACUUAACUCUUCACUAAUUUCUCAUAACUUAUAGCAUAAAUCUUCUUCUAAUAUCCAAACAUUAAAUCUUCUUCUAGUAUCACCCAUGCCACUUACGAGCUUGUAUAGCGCCUGAAUAAGGCCAAGUUUGUGAUAGCCGUAUCCAAACACACCCACUUACAUGCCUUAGAUGCCGAAAAAAUUAAAAGAGCUUUGAAGCUCUGCCCUUCUGAUGCUAUAAAAAUGCCAGCUUUAGGCAACGCACCACCAAACUGAGCCUAAUACUAUUAGGAGAAGCACUAUAGUAACAUAUUAUUAACCAAUCCUUUCUACUGAGGAAUCAAAAGCACCAAAUUAGAAUCCUCCUUUUCUUGCACUCGAAAUCUCUCAUUUCUGCUUCGAAGCUCCAAAUUUUUAAACCCGCUGUUGCCAGAAGCAGAAGCAGAAGCAGGGCCGAACAGGAACCUUCAACCGCUACUAAAAAAGAUUCAUAUGAAUCAAAGAGACAUUAAAUCGAACACCUCACCUCCGCCAUUAAAGAACGAGCUCCGAAGCGGAGGGCAAGCGACGAUCCCCCUCACCGAGCGCGGCCGCGACGCGGCGAAUGGCGGCGCCGCGAAGCCCAAGCUGCUUGUGGGAGCCCUCACCGCCAUUGACGAGCGAAACCCCCAAAUCCCAAGCUACGCCUAUUACUAUUGCUAUUGUAUCAAGGGGAGAGAGAUAGCCAAGGUGGGAUUUUUAUCUGAAUUUCUUAUAUAUUGGGUGGGUUCGAGGGGAGAGAGUGGAGAUGAUACCAAAUCCCCCCCAAAAGUGCGAAAUUUUUAGGCGAAAACCGAAAGGGUGGUUUUGUGGUGGAGUAGAAGAUACGAGGUGUGGGUUUUUUUUGCCCUUUUUUGCUUUUUUUUCCGUGAAAAAGUAUGGUGCCCCUUGACUAUAGGAUAUUUUGAAACAGAGCCCUUUAUUUUAAUCAAAAUUUUCUCGUCUUCUAAUUUUCUUUUAUUUGAGUUUUUAUAAUUAGUUAAAUUUUAAAUUUUUAUUGAAUUUAAUAACUCUUAGUUAAAAAAGUAUGAUUACUCCUUGAUCUAUAGGACAUUUUGAAAUAGACAGCUCAACUAUUUUCAUUUUAAUAGAGAUUUCUUGUCUUCAAAUUUUUUUAUUUAAGUUUUUAUAAUUAGUUAAAGUUUAAAUUUUUAUUACAUUUAAUAAGUCUUUGCUAAUUAUUGAUCAGUUUAAUUCUUUAUAAAAAAUUUAAAUUAGUAAAUAUAAUAAAAUUAUUACUAAUUUUGAUUAUUUUUUUAGAUUUUUUUUGACUAAAUCAGUUGAUUCUAAAAAUUAGAAAUUAAGAGAGUUUCCAUAGAAAAAAAAAUUGAUAGUUCAAAAUUUUCUAUACCUGAAGAGAUUUCUGUAUAUGUUUAUUCUUUUUCUCAAACAAAUGUAUGAUGCCAACCCUAACUAUAUUUUGAAUGGCGAUGUUCGCUAUUUUUGUUUUGAUUGAAACUUACUUUAUUCACAGAUAUUUUGAUUUGAAUUUUUACACUUAAUUAAAAUUUAAAUUUUUAUCAAAUAUAAUAGAUUAAUUAGCUAUUAACCUUUAAUUAAUCUAAUUUUAUUUACUAAAACAUAAUUAAUAUUUUUAAAUUUAGUAAAAUUAUAAAUAAAGUUUGAUAAGUCCUCAAAUUAUAUACUUAAAUCACUUAAUUCUAAAAUGUUAGAAGUUGAGGGGCUCAACAAAAAAAAAAAUUAAUAGUUGGGGCUUACAUCAGAAUUGCCUAUGGUUGAGGGCGCUCUAUGCAUUUCUACCAAAAAUCUUCACAUGGCAUCGUAGUUCACAAUUUCGCGUAGUACAUGAUUGUUAACGAAAGAAAAAGGCAAAAAUAAGUAAAAAAAUAAAAGAAAAUUAUUAGGGGGGAGAGAGAGAGAGAGAGAGAGGGAGAGAGAUGCUCUAACGAGGCACUCCAUGGUGUUCGCCACAGGGACGUAACCCUCAUGAGGAGUGGGAGGGAGGAGGAGGAGAGGAGGAAGGCGAUGAGCGGCGGCGGCGGCGGCGGUGAUGGCGGAAGCAGCAGCGGCGGCGGCCCCAAUCUCGAGUGGAGGUUCAACCAAACCCUAAGGAACGUGCAAGGGUGAGUUCGAUCCCUUUUGAUCUUGUUAUAACUCGUAGAUCCGAUCUUAGUCUAGUUUUGGUGAUCUCUUUCGUGGUAGUGCUAUCGAUCUACUCAAUCUUUGAUGCUGGAUCUGGGGAUCCCCGAUGGGCUCUUGCGGAUUUGAGAUUUUGUUGGCGACUAGUUGGCGAAUAGUUGGCGAAAUUGGGAUCUUGAUAGAGUGUGGUGCACUUGAUCUACUGCUUCGGAUUGGAUAAUUGGAGAAUCGGAUCUAGGUUUUAACUAAGAUGAAUAAAUUGAUUGUUUAGAUCAUAUUCCGAAUUGAAUUGAAUCUCUCCAGGUGAUAAUUGCUUUAAAAACAUUGCCACUGUGCUGGAUUUAUGUGUUGUUAUUGUCGCAUUAGAUCAAGGAUCCGUAAAUCUUAGUAAUCCAUUGAGAUGUCUAGCUUGUUGGAAUUUUGAACUUAGGUUGGACUUUUUUCUGUUGCCUCAUUGAGUUCUUUGGAUUGCAGUGUCACAUGAUUGAGAAAGUGAGGUCACUGAUUUUGUUGCUUUGCACCUGCUUUUUAACUUCAUUCUUUGGAAGUUUUGGUCCUGAGUUUGGUCCUGUUACUAAUCAUAUGCGGCGGACAUUCAGUUGUAGUUCUUUUUCGUAUUUGCCUAUUAUUAUGGUCCACUAGAAGCUCUAGUUAGUAAGCUUCAACUGCUGAUAUUGAUAAAACAUCAAGCUUUCUCAAGCUUUUUCAUGAUUUGAAAUUUCGUUGCGUAUCCUUUAGAAUAAUGAUGGCCUUAGACACUUGGUAAUUAGCUUGUUUAUGAAAAUUCAUUAAGUUACGAGUUAAAGUAUUAAACGGAAUAGUUCUAAAAUUUCAGUUUCUUUAAAGAAAAGAUAAAACUCUUCAUUAAUCCUAUCAUUAAUUUAACUGCUACUAGUUGCAUUAAUAACAGUUUGUAAUUAGCUUUGCUUAUCAAAAUUUAUUCAGGUUGCUUAAAGGACGCAGCUUCCCUGGCAAGGUUUUGCUGAGUCGCAGAUCCGAGCCUCUGAAUGAAUCUACAUCACCUGAACACUCUCAAAACUAUGCUCGAAGCUUCAGUGAGGGUGAUCAUGAGCAAGAUGACUAUAGGGAGAGCUCAUUUGAGGUAAUUUUGGCGCAAAGUUGGUUCUUUCCUUCAGCUCUCUAUGUAGCAAAUUAUAUUGGUUUCGUAGUAAUCUCACUUGCCACAGGGAGAAGAUCAAAAUUCUGGAAGUAAGACAAGCAGUUCAAGUCUAAAUAAGUCAAGUAUAUCAUCAACGAGCAGUGCGAACUCUUCCAUAGAUGCUCAAAGAUUAGUUUCCGGGGCUAGAGCUACAGAUUCUGCGAGAAUUACAAAAUUCACGAAGGAGCUUUCUAAACCAGCUGUUAUUUUAGGUAUCUAGUCAUUCUAAUUUAUUUAUUUACUUUUUUCUUUUCUGCUUCUAGAAUAUUAUGUUCAAACCAUGGUAUCACUUGCUAUAGCAUGUGCAACUUCUAUAAUUGUGAUAAACAGUGGUAGUUGUUUGGACACCUAAAAUCUAUAUGAUGGGCAGAAACAGUCCUUCAAAACUAGAGGAAAAAGGCUUAGUCGUGUACUUUAGCUAUAAUUUCUUUUUAGUUUUGAGGAUUUAUAUAACAAUAGCGUAAUGAGGAGGAAUUGCAUUUCUUAGUCCGUGAUGACUUCGCAGAGAAUUAUACAUAUAAUGAUGCAUUCCAAAAAUAAAGGUUAUGCACAAUCAUAAGUAUCUUGUUAUAGGCCAAUAUAUUGAUAAUGCCUAAAAGCUAUCAAGAGAAUACUAAUUUAUUGAGCGAUGGAUUUCUUCAAACAAGACUAUAGCAUAUACUGUUACAGUAAAUGGCUUAGCUUGAAUAUACCAAAACUCGGUUGGUAAUGAUUAAAGAAAGAUCAGAAGAAGAGGAUAUUGUGAUGAAACUUCAUAGUAUAGCCCAAUUGCACUUUAAAAACUAGUGUUAUAAACAAGAGGUAUGUCUUGGAGAAUUGCAGCAUGCCUGUGUCUUGGAAAAUGGAUAUUUUCUGAAAACACAAAAUAAGGCACAUCUUUGGCAUAUGCUUGGAUUUUAAUGGUUCUCUCAGCAUAGAUGGCCAGCACAAAGAAGAUAAGCUUGUCAUAGGCAACAACAUAAAGUAAGCUAUACGCUACCCAUCAAUUUGUAUCGUACAGUUGAAGAAUUAGGAAUUUGAGUAAUAAUAGGGAGGAAGAGUAAGCUAGCAUAGGUGACAACAUCGUAUCUGGGCAGCUUGAUCCAGGAAAAAGCCAGAUGGUUGACAAUUUCUAGCAAGCUUUUUUUCGUAGAUGGCUAAGGUCUCUCGGAGAAAACAAGAAAAGUGAUGAUAAUUAUAUGGUAAUGAUCUUUAUGUGUAUGGAGAAUCAAGUACCUGUGUUGAUUGUAUGCACUUGUCCAUUGAUUUCUUACUGCUUAAUUUUUUUAAAUUUUUCUUUUUUUUUAACAAGCAUUCAUGCUCAUUGUUGAAGAUUUCAAGCUCACUUGGGAUUCCAUAUAGAGAUAUUGAAUAAUCAUUUCAUAGAAAGGCAUCAUCUCUUUUUUCUUUCAAUUUCACUGACAUAAAUUGAGUGGUCAUUUUAUAUCAAUACUUCUCUGUUUCAUUAUGGUUUGCGUUUUUCUUAGCUAAUGCAGUUAUGCUAUUGUUGUUCUCCAUCAUGUAGAGAAGUUACGCGAGCUAUCUUGGAGUGGUAUCCCACCUUAUAUGCGCCCUAACAUCUGGAGGCUUCUUUUGGUAAGUGAUCUCUUAUACUGCUAUUCUCUUUAUCCAAAUAAACUAAAAUUGUUAAUUGUCUCUGACAUAGACAACAAAAAGAGUGUUUGUGUUUUCUAUUUGGUUGCUAUCAUGAUAAAACUAUUCUCUGAUGUAAUUUUGCAUUCAAAUAUUAUGUGAAACCAAAUAUUAGUCGCUCACUUGUAUAUAAACUCUAGAUAAUCCCAAGUCUUAGCUCAUUAGGUACAUGACGAUGGACAUGGUAGACUUUAUCUUCAGUUUUAAUCUAUUAGUUUUCAAUCCUAAAGUUAACUUGAAAUGUAACUGAAGGAAUCAUCUUACUCUGAACCUUCCUAUUCAGAUCGUUCUUCAUAACUGCCUUCCAUGUUAUCAACUUACUUCCAAGAGCACAAGAAAACGUUUGUACUUUACUAGUAGUAGAUAUUUGUUCAUUCAUUCAUUACAAAUAUGUAUCUAAGGAUGGGAAUGUAUUUUAUAUCAGUUUUAAUUUAGCUAAUUCUUACCGACGUAAACUCUUAAAAUUAGUCUUCUUUUCAAAACUGUAUGAUGUCUUUAAGCAUAAUGUUCAAUAUCCAGUCUUCUAAAUGUUAGAGAAAUUAUCUGAUACUUCAGUAUUGUCAAUAAUAUUCACUUAUUCAAGUAACUCCAAUUGAGUCGAUAUGAAUUUAAUAUUAUUAUUAUUAUAUAUAUGCUAGCAUUUGGGUGAUCUCGACUUGUCUCAGUUCUUCAUUCUGCUCGACAUCUUCAAUGUUUUAUUUCGGAUUAGACCUUUAUUAAAAUUUGUCUCACCAAGUUCAGUUUGUUUUACUAUAUUCUGCUGUAAAAUAUUCACUCUAUUAUUUUAAACAUUGUGUUGCAUAGUUGAAAAUUAAAUAUUAGCUGACAACAGGGAUAUGCAUCACCUAAUUCAGAUAGACGUGAAGGAGUUUUGUCGAGGAAAAGACUUGAGUACGUUGACUGUGUUUCUCAGUUUUAUGACAUUCCUGAUAGUGAACGGUCGGACGAUGAGAUCAACAUGCUUCGCCAGGUGAUUAAUGAAGUUCCAUGAGGUUGAUUUCCACUUGUACAUGUAUAACUACUGUGUACUCAGGUGGUAAUUUUUCUUUUUCUCUCUGUAGAUUGCCGUUGAUUGCCCAAGGACUGUUCCUGAUGUUACUUUUUUCCAGCACGCACAAAUUCAGAAAUCUUUGGAGCGCAUUCUGUAUACAUGGUCAAUUUCCAACCUGCGUAGCUAUCGUGCUGCCUAUUUGGCCUGGUUUUUGAAAACUCUUUGCUCCAAUAAAAGCUGAUCUGGGUGUUUGGCAAACAUGAACUUCAAGCUUUGGCUGUAGCAGGAAGCUGAACCGAGCUUCUAGGUCUCAAAAAGCAGAAGCUCCAAUUAGAAGCUUUUGCUUCUCUAGAGCAAAAUUGGCCAGAGGAUUUCAGUGAAGAAGCUGUUAGCGCUUUUCAUAACACCUCUAGUCAAACUGCUCUUAAGCAGAAGCUCUAGUCCAGCUACACUGGUCCUCGGUUUUGAAAGCUUCAUGCUGUAGAAGUUUGUUGACUGUCAUUGUCAUUCUGUAGUUAUUCUUUCUUUUCCUUCUUCCUUUUUUUUUUCCCCUUUUUUGUCUAUAACACAUGAUGACUCUCAAAAUGAAUAUCUAAUACACCAUAUGAUCAUUUCAAAAAUAAAAAUAUUUACCGACCGUCUCUGGUGCAAGUGGCAAAGGGCUUGGUGGUUGGUACCCGAGGUUCCAAGUUCGAAUUCUAGCUGAUUCACAUUUCCGGCUAAGUUUAUUUCUAAAAAAGAAAUAAACGAAGCGGGUAACAUGCUACCUAUCUCUCAAAAAAAAAAAAAAUAUUUGGAUCUAAUUCUUUAAUUCCCCAAGUGCAAUAAUGUAAAUGAAGAGGAAAUUAAUUCAGCUUCAGGACUUCUAUAUUUGAAAGCCAUGCAGACAAGCCAUAUUUUCAUUUGUAUUUUCUAUAAUUUGUUAAUUUUUCAUCUCAUAAUAUGACUCUUGUAUAUCACUACUACUGCAAACUGAAAUAUGUCAACCAAGAAUACUAUGUUUCUUCAAAAAUUCAAUUCUUUUUCUUGUCUUUUUUACUUUAUUCCUUAACAUUAUUUAUGAAAGAUAUAAAUUGAUACUCAAAUAAAAGGUGAUUUCCUUAUCAGGGCUAUUCGUCACCCAGCAAGUGGAUAUGUUCAAGGGAUAAAUGAUCUUGUCACUCCUUUCCUAAUUGUGUUCUUAUCAGAACAUCUAGAAGGAAACAUGGAGAGUUGGUCAAUAUUGAACCUCUCUCCACAAAUUAUCUCUAAUAUAGAAGCAGAUUGUUAUUGGUGCCUCUCAAAGCUUCUUGACGGUAUGCAAGACCAUUAUACCUUUGCUCAACCGGGAAUUCAGCGCCUUGUUUUCAAACUGAAAGAGCUGGUUCGAAGGAUCGAUGGUACAUGAUUUUAAUUUUAUAUUAGCUUUUGGUGCAUACAGCAUGGUUAUGUUUACAUACUUGCACAUUUGUUAGAUAAUUUCAUACUUGAAUUAUCUUUUAUCUAACUAUAAAUUGAUAAAUUUUCAUUGUUCAAGGCUUCUCCUAGGCUCAGCUGAUCAUGAAAACUCAAAAGUGAAUAGUCUUAAAGGAAAGAGAGUAACAUCUCAAAAAAAGUAGAAUAAUUUUAAAUUAUUUUGUCUUUCUCCGUACAUAUAUAAUUAUAAAUUAUUUUGCCUCUCGAAGUUCCUAUGUAUGUUCUUUUUAGCUGCAAAGGAAUAAUCCUUGCAACCGAAAGAUUUCUAAUAAGUGAAUGUUAAGUUUUUCUUUCUAGAAAGUGUCUCACAUUAAGAGUUAAAUCAGUUUAUGCCUAUAUUUUUCUAGUAUCUCUUUUUUGGUUAUUUGAGUAAUGUUGCAAAUCCUUAUUGAUCUUUAUUUUUGGGCUUAUUUUAGAACCUUUAUCAAGGCAUAUGGAGGAGCAAGGGCUUGAGUUUCUUCAGUUUGCUUUUCGUUGGUUCAAUUGUCUCCUGAUACGUGAGGUAUAGAGAUGUCUACAUAGAUAUUCACAUAUAUAUCCCUGCAAAAUUUGAAUUUUCAUAUAUGCCAUUGAAAAUCUUAAUUCCUUACAUACAUACUGUUGUAUUCAGAGAAAUUUCCAUGUAAAUGAGCUAUUUUCGGUACAAAUCCAACUUCUUGAAAUUGAUGACUUAUCUGUAAAAGAUUAGGGCAUUUUUGUAAGAAACUGCUGUUUGAAGGGAUGUCUGUAUAGCUCUAUAGAGCUAAGCUGGUAUACUAUCGGUAGCACGGAGGCCUCCGUGCUACCAAGUUGUUUUCAGUGAUGCGGCUUCCAAAUCGACGAUCGGUUCCGUUAGACUUGAUCUACACUAUUCAAAGUAUUUGGAAACUAAAUUUCAUACUUUUUUCGGCAUCAAUUACCUAUCAAAACGAGUAGUCUAAAAAUUAACGACUGAAAAUAAAAAUUUCAUAAAAAGUGAUGAUAAAAGACUUGAAUUUAAGAUCAGAGAUACUGAUCUUACUCUAAGUAGUGAAAAAAAUUUUCUAUAAAAAUUUCAUCAAAUUUGGAUUGUUUUACACCGUUAAAUUCACAAAAGCAUCAAAUCUACCAUUAAAAUUAUCAAUUUUGAGACCUUUUGAUCACUAGCCAAAUAAUGUCGAAAAAUUAUGAAAUUUAGUUUCCAAAUACUUUUAAAUAGUGUAGAUCAAGUCUAACGGAGCCGAUCGUCGAUUUGAAAGCCGCAUCAUUGAAAACAACUUAGUAGCACGGAGGCCUCCGUGCUACCGAUAGUAUACCAGCCUAGCUCUCUCUCUCUCUCUCUCUCUCUCUCUCUCUAUAUAUAUAUAUAUAUAUGAAAAUUCAGGUUUUACAGGGGUAUAUAUACAAGUAAAAUCCCCUUUGUUUGCCAUUUCCUGUUUCAAGUAGCUAAAUUUUAAGUCUUUUAUAGAUACCUUUCCACCUUGUCACGCGACUGUGGGAUACUUACCUUGCGGAAGGAGAUUCUUUGCCGGAGUUUCUUGUGUAUAUAUCAGCUAGUUUUCUACUAACUGUAAGUUGCACUUUCUUAUUUCAAUGCAUCCAAGUGUCAAACGACGUGCUGUUUUUGGUUUGAAUAUUUCUAUCCCGGGAAUUGAGGAACAUUCCUAAUGGGAACAAUAGUUCUAAUGUUAUUUCUAACGUGCUUUGCUGGGACAGUGGGGCUUGGGUCUAUAUCACGAUUCCAUUGGAUAUUAUAAUUCCAUCAUAUGCCAUGGAUCGAAAAUAAAACUGCCCUGAGGAUGUUUUCUUUACCCAAUUUAAAAUAUCUUUGAUUCACUUAAAAUGAGAUAUUUGUCGGCCCUUGGACGACUGGGUGAUUAGUUAGUAUUUUCAUAUCAAAGUUUCCUGAUCUUCCCCUACAAUUACAUACUUCUAAAAGAGUUUAUUUAUUUCAUCGCUUCAGUGGUCGGAUAAGCUCCAGAAGCUUGAUUUCCAAGAGAUGGUGAUGUUCCUUCAACACCUCCCCACAAAAACCUGGUCCCACCACGAGCUCGAGAUGGUCCUAUCCCGAGCCUACAUGUGGCACACCAUGUUCAACAGCUCACCGAGUCAUCUUGCCGGCUAGGCGUCCGUUAUGCUUAGCAGUUUCUUUUCUGUAUUCUAUUAAUUUACUUCUCAGGAAAGUCGUGGAUUUGUCGCCUUCAUAUCUAUGCUUGUUCCUCACAAAGAAGAAAAGCCAGGGCUGUUUCUUUCAUUUUUUUGUUUCUUGGUUUGAAUUCUUCAUGUAACUUAAAAGUUAUGACCCUUGUACAUUUCCGAGCGCUUGUAUCGUUGAGGAUGAAAAGAUGAAUCAAAAGUUACAGUGAAAAUGCCUUUGUUUUGUUAGCUUUAUUUGCUCAACGAUUUGCUUCAAGUAUCGAUAGAUGUGUACUUAGUUGAUUAAUGAAGCAAAUUCAUUUUGGCAUGCACCAAACUUCAGUUAUGCUGAAAAAAUUGAGGAAUUUUAUCUCAUCUUUUCUCCUAUCUGUGACUCUGAGGUUUCUUUGUUGAUUGAUUCAAUUUAUUUUCUUUUUUAAUAUAUUAAUCAAUGCUACUUAGUAUGGAGACAUGUAUUCUGCUGAAUAAUGUCCAAACUAAUGUUCAUGUGGCACUGUACUAUCCUGAUAUUGUACCUUGGUCCCUGAACUCCUACAGAUUUGCGCUUUAAGCCCUUAGUCGGAAAUACACAGAUCAGAUAUUGUCAAGGACAUCAUCUGAAAGCAAAUGCUUGCGAAAAAAAUGCGUAAAUUAAUGAAAUGCAAAAAAUGAACAGGUUUUUUUAAACUUUGUUGCGCUUCAAGGAAUUCUUGGUAUUCAUGUGCAUACAGUCACAGUUAAACUUUGCAUACAAAUGUUGAAACAAAUGCCGAAUUAAUACACACAAGACAUCUCUUUCCACUCGAAUUCCAUCAGAAAAAAAAAUUGAUAAUAAUAAAUAAUGAAUGAACAUGGAGAAGCAUGAAUUUACUACUCAUUGUCGAGCCCCGGAAUAUACUCCAAGCUAACAUCAAAUAUGACAGGGCUGUUUGGAGCUACUCUUGGCCUUCCUGGUGCUGAAUUGAGGCCUUUGGGGAAUGCUAGCUGCAGCAGAUUACCCAAAGAAAAGAAUUUUUUUUUAAAAAAGAUAUGUUAGAGUCAAAUUCUCCGGCAAAGAUGAAAAUUGGCACACCAGAUUGUUCACAUAUGCUUCCAAGAUUCCUCCAAUCUUUUUACAGGAAGGUAAAAAAAGAAACAAAAGUUCCUAAAAAGCAUGCACAAAGAAGGAAAUGAAAUUAGUAUCUUAAUCCAUCGCGCAGUUGUUUAUUAAAUCUUUCCACCUAAUCUACUGCACAUAUUACCAUUAAUCUCAUAUUACGCUAGAGACAUGCGGUAACGUAACGACUAGUUUGGUUUCCGGUGAAGAGAUUAUUAUUACUGCCAUUUAGAACAGCAAAAAUUGACAUUGUUGUUUUUUGCUCCCAUACACCUUUCUAUUCUUUCAAAGUGAGAAGUAAGAGCACUCACAGAUCCUGGUAUGUAUAGCCGACGCUUUCCUCCUACUUUCAUGCUCAAAAUUCCUUCAUCAAGCCCCUUUAUCACCUUUUCUUUGGAAAAAAAAUAUUGAAAUAAGGAGACUAUAAGCCUAAACAGUAUAAUAAGAUGGACAAGAUAAUAGAUUAGGCUAGAUGAAAUGAUGGAUUUAGCCUAGAACAUUUUGAUUCAACAUACCCAACAUUAUAUAAGACACUAAUUAAUACGAUUUCAUUAUUGGAGAGGUUUAAGAAAAAAUGAUCCCGAAAGAAUAUCCAGAUACAACUAAAAUUGGAGCUCAAGAGUUUUAUGAAGAUAUAUGGUGAUACCUGACCAGAACCGACACGGAAUAUGUAGGGCUGGCCUUUCUCCAAUGAACUGAAAGACAACAUAAAAUAACACUAAGAACAGCUGCGAAGCGUUGCUCAGAAAUUGGUUUGAACUGUUUAUAGGUAAUUCCGCAAGACCUUAAACUCUGUCAUUGGCUUAAACUGUAAAGAAAAUGUUAUAACAAUUAAGUUAGAUAUUUUCAAAGUAUUAGCAGGUGCUUUUGCGUAAUUUGUAAAACUCUAAAAACCAAUUGAGUUCCCUUCUCUUUUUCUUUAUGUGCAAAAGUAUUGCUUCAUUGUACUUUUAAGUACAAGUCAGCUUUAUGCAAACCAAGCAAUAAGUCAUCGCAACAAUUCCGCAAACUAAUAUAUAAUUAUGACACAUAAUUUAGUUAAACACCUGAAGUAUUAUGUAAUAGCAUAAUUAGAUAAUGAGAUUGACUUUCCCACACUACAAGAAACUUUUCAUUUUUGUAUUAAUUUUUAAAAACACUACUUAGUGUAUAAAUAGUAGAAAGCAACAAAUUUCACCUGUCAAAAAUUUGGCCAGACGGUAGCAUGGCAACAUAAUUUGCAGCAACCUAGAUGACAGAAAGUGAAAGUUAGCUCAUCCACAAGCAAAAAACUAAAAACCAUAAUAAAAGUAUCAAGUUAUUUACAGACGGAAGUUUGAUCUGGGUCUUUGUUCCGUCACUAGAAUUCCAAUCAUUAUAACGUAGUUCCUGAAUAUUAUAUUUUGAUAUCCAUUUCAUUCUUAGAGUUUCAAUUUUCACGUUCGAGCUCAGUUUCAAUUUUCUUCCUAGAGUUCCAACUUUGACAGUAAUCUUAAUGGUUAAGCAGAAUAGACUAUAAGGAGUAAAAUUUUAUAAUUGAAACAGUGAGCAUAAAAUUGAAAUCCAAGACCCAAAACAGAGUAAAAGGUAAACAAGUAACACUUAUGGUUGUCCAACAUAUUGAAUUCAAGUUUCUUAAAACAUACGAAGAAAUGAAACAUGUAAAUCUGUGAGUGAAGCGGUGCACCUGAAAGCCUACUGGAGGACUUGGGCCUUCACCGACUUUAAUAUCCUUGUACUGCAAUCCAGUUUCUGUAGUUACCAUAGGAACCUUUAUGGAAAGAAAAUUAAGACCAUUACCAACCCAGAACGAAAUAAAAAUAAGCGACAUCUCGACUAAAAUGCUUAUAGUAGAAGAUAGUACGAUUUGUAAGGGAGAACUAUAAAGCGUAAAUGAAGUAAUGAAAUAAAUGGACAACAAUUGAAGGUUCAGCAUGCUCUGAACUCAUAAUUUGUUCAUGGUUUUCUUUGUUAUGAGUAAAUUAUUUUAUUUGAUUGAAAAGAAAAGAAGAUUUCUGAGCCUUUUGUGAUAACUAAAUUCCAGCAACUUUCAUCGAAACUCGUUCUGGAUGCUACUAAUCAUAGUUGUCAAUAAGAAUAUUUCAGCAGAAGAGUCUCACCAUACAUUUUCAAGCUCUUUUUCGCAAGCAUCAUCGCACAACCUUGGCUUUUCCACCGGAGGCAAGCCGUCUCCGUUAGCCUUCGAAUUGCUUAAUCCAAAAGCAGAUAGCCCCAACAUCAAUCCAAAAAUGCUCCUCCGAGAAGCAAGAUUUUCUCCAUCUCCUUGGGACUUCUGUGUACUAGAAGCCUCGACUCCACGAUCAAAAGAAAAGCAGUGCCCUUCAAAAUUUGGGACCUUAGUAGGAAAAAUCCUAUGAUGGAUGCACCAUGUUCUCUUGGUAAAGCUCAUUCCUAAAUACAAAUGAUUUCUUAUAACUCGAUUCGACAAAUACAUUGAAAGAAAUAUACAUAUAUUCAUUUUAGUAAAAGUAAACAUCAAAUAUGCUCACAACUAUCAAACUAGACGCGAUUUGAUGAAUUCAUUCCCAGAAAAAAGAAGAAGAAGAAGAAGAAUUUGUGUAUAAUUGGCAAAGAAAUAAAAAUUAAUAUUUGUAAUCACAAGAACACUAAAGGAUGUGCAAGUACAAGAGAUGAAAAGGGGAAUUGAUAUUGCUGGAGCAAUAUCAUUAUUGCGAGAGCACAUAUAUGUUGUUGUAUCUAAUCAUGUUUUGAACCUUUUUUGCUUUGACAGUAGCAGAUACUGUUCUGACAAUAUCAGUUCCCGAUAAAAAAAUGUAGGGACAAACAACGAAAAAGUUCAACUUAUGUUGAAAAAUAGAUUCAAGAAAUGUUAAAUUAUAUAAAAUAAUCAUUGUUUUGGAAAAGUUUAAGCUAUCAGGGAACGGUGUUUCUAAUAUUUAUAUUCAACACUUCCUUUACGUUUGGGCUCGAGACUUUUUGAUAAGCGCAAGACGUGAAUUAGAAUUAAAUAGGAGAAAAAUUAAAUGAGACAAGGGGUCUUGCAAGACACGAAAUUAAGACCUCUUGCUCAGAUACCAUGUUAAGUUAUAUAAAAUAAUCGUUGUUUUCCGAAAACUUUAGCUAUCAGAGACGAGAAACGGUGUAUUUAAUAUUUAUAUUCAACAAGAAAAAGGGACGAAUAUUCUUUUCUUUCCCCCUUUUUCGGGGCAGAGGUAAAAUACUUUCAGAAACAAUAUAGAACAAAUAGAGAAACCCAAUUGCCAAAGAGCCAUUCUGAGAAGAGAAACUAACAAAAGCAUUUAACAUUAAAAAAAAAAAGAAAAAAAAAAGAAAAAGAUCUAUCUUGCAAAUCCUAACAUGCCCACAUCUCAACAAAGUGAAUUUAUCAUUCCAAUUUACAAAAUGCUAACAUAACCCACAUAAGGAUACAAGAAAUGAUUCAAGAUUCUGAAGGAACCAACAAUAAAAUAUGCAUAUAUGUUACAACAAAAAUGCAAAGGAAACACAGAGGUGAAGAAGAGUCAGUCACCUGAGGGGAGGAGAAGAGUGGAGAAGUAAUUAGAAGCCAUGGGGGCUGGGGUUGGGAGGGAGACAGUUGGAAGAGGAUGAAAGUGAUGGCAAAAGAGACCACUAAAAGCUGAGAAGAGAGGACUUGGUGUCUCAGCCACACAUAUGGAUUUGGUUUGGUUUGGUUUGGUUUGGUUCAAUUUGUAAGGUAAAUUAAAUUGGAAUAAGUGUAAGUUGAUUUUAGGAAAAACUUCAAAAACCCCCCUUGUGGUUUCGUAAUAUUUUACUUUGCCCUCCUAUGGUUUAAAAUGUAUCAAUUUGCCCUCCUGUGGUUUUGUUUUUAUCUUUUCGGUAGCUUUUUCGUUAAUAUUUUAUUAAAUUAUAUACAAAAAACUUCAGAUACCAUAUAGAUUUAUCAAAUAUUCACUUUAGUACCCUUUAAUUUUAACUUUAUCACUGAUUUAAGAAAAAAAUAUGAAAUUGAUAAAAAAAAAAAGAAAAAAGAAACCACAGGGGGACAAAUUGAUACAUUUUAAACCACAGGGGGGCAAAGUGAGAAACUACGAAACCACAGGGGGGUUUUUUGAAGUUUUUCCUUGAUUUUAUAUUGUUAAGUUAAAAUUGUGGGAGGAAGUUUAAAUUAAAUUUAUUAAAUAUAUUUUUCGGCUCGUUUCCUAUCAUCUUUUCGGGUUGUAUGAUAACAAAACUAAUUCUAAAUUCCUUCAUUUUGUAAAAGUCGUUGUUUCAAUUUAUAUAUUUACAUUUUAAUGGGUAAAAUUCUCGCAUUAUAUUUAAUUAUGUGUUUCUGAGCUCGUUUUCUCUCGAAGAUUUUGCUCUGGGUUGUUAUUUAGAGCAGAGUCAUAUGUGCAGAGUCUAAUUAUUAUCCUUCCGUCUUCGUCCUAUUAAAUCAUUUUUUGAUAAUCGGAUAUUCAAAUUUAUAGUUGGCACUAUAAAUAGGAUUUGGAGGAGCUGGAGUAUCCAAAAAAAAUCUUCAAUUUUAUUUUUUUUUUCUUAACAGAUUCUCAAUUAUUAAAUAUUUUGAUUCAAAUUAAAUUUGUAAAUUAAAUUUGAAGUUCGUUAAAAUUAAAAUCGCCGAGAGCUAUCAAUUGCUACGAAUUUGGGGAAUAUCCUACUUCCAUAAGAUGAAAAGCUAUUCAAUACAAAUAAAUUUCGGCAAAAAUAUUAUUGAACUAAUUAAUAAAAUUUCUAAUUUAAUUUGAUGAAUUGAGAAAGUACCGGUGCAUUUUUACCAAUAAACAUAUGCUUCGUUCCUAAAUUUUAAAUUUUGUACAAUCGUAGAAUAUUGUUCAUAAAACUAUAAAACAAAGGUUUCAAUUUUGUUCAUGUUAUGAUUAAUUGCGAGCUAGAACUAGCAAAAACAUAUCUUUUUUCGAGUUAAAAAAAAAAAAAGUUGUACCUUAAAUCCACUGUAUAAUUGAGCUUGUAGCAUUGUUUGAGGAUUCCUUUUAUUCCUCUUCAUUUUUUUUUUUAAUUUCCUUUCAAAUGUGACAAAUCUUUUAUGAAAAACUUAAUCCCUAGCGCAAGUGGCAAAGGAUCUUGGUGGUUGGUACUUGAGGUCUCAAGUUCGAAUCCUAGUUGAUUCACAUUUCAGCUAAGUUUGUUUAUUUCUAAAUAAAGUAAACAAAGCGGGUAGCAUGCUACCUAUCUCUCAAAAAAAAAAAAAUCCCACAAGAAAUAAAAAGUUAAUCUAAAAUGAAAUAUAAAUUAUCUCAUGAAAAUUUCAAGAGCUUAACUCAAACAACAAAAUUUGAUUUAUAAAUACUUCAGCGUGGAGAAAAUCAAAUAUAUUUUUCUAUAUUAAAAAGUUGACUAAAAGCUCAUGCCACUGUCAACAAGCCGAACAUGAGCAAGAUAGGAGUGGCACGUGCUCGGCUUGUUUAAUAAAGAGGCUGAGCACAAGCUGGCUCGUUAAAAUAUCUGAGUCGAAACAUUUAGCUCAUGUUCGACUCAUUUAUUAACGAGCCAAAAAACGAAUCUCUAGUCAAAUUGUCAGUUCUACUAUCAGAUAAAAAGUUGGAGAAAAAUUAGAAAUUAAAUUAGAAUCUUAAUCUAAUAACUGAAAUUCACAAAAAAAGUUCCACUCGUUUGGUUGGAUCAAUCUCGAAUUUAUUUCGAGUCGAACACGAACCAGCUCGUGAACAAUGAGCUGGAUUGCCAGCCCUAAUCUCUCUCUCUCGCCCCCCAUCUUUCUCUCUCAUGUAUAAGGAAACAUGCAUGCGAGUAGUAAGAUGUUCAUGAUCCAAGCACUUGUAAUCUCUUUUUUUUAAUUUGGUAGAAUUUGGUUUACAAUGAUGUAAUUAAUUAACUACACAGCUGAGUGGUGUUCACAGUAGAAAAGAGCAGCAGCAACAGCAACAUCUCAGCACCAGCCAUUCCAAACUGCAAUUAUAGACAAACAAUAAUAUCAUUUCUAAUUCUUAUUUCAAUAUUUCCGCACAAACAUGCAUAACUAAAUUCUUUGUAUAACGUAUUGUAUAGUAGGGUUUGUGCAUAUAACAAGUUACCACCAACUUAGGGUUAUAUACAUUAUACGAAAUAUUUUAAUAUUUACCCGAAGUUCCGCAGAUAAAGGGUGCGUUAAUGAGGACAAAAACGAAAUAACAAAGUGAGAUGCAUGGCAACGGUGAUAUCUUUAUGAAGUAACUUAUUAGUGCGAACUUCAUCUGAGCUGACCACAUGUCGCAUAGGUUUACAAAUAUAUACAAUCAAACUAAGUUCAAACAGUGACAUACAGAAUCUGACAAAUUUUUUUUUUUUUUUUUCCCUGCAUAACUAGAUUUUGUCAGUAACUCCAACUUGCACCAUGCAUGGUGAUCAAAAUCUUAAUCAAAUGUCAGUGCUGAUUCGUGCACACACAUGAUAAAAUUUCAUGGAAACAUAAAUCAGAAUUUCUAAACAUGAGAAAGAAUACACUAUCUCACCGUCUGCAGAAACCCCACCAUCGUCCUGGUGGAAAAGAUUGCCGCACAAGUGUGUCCAGUGAAAAAGCCGAGGGCUCGUCGCAUAAGAGCGGCGAGGCCUCUGGCGACGACCCACCAGGAGACGAGAAAGGGGGCGACGGCGAUGGCGAUGGGGACAGCGUGAACGGGUACUUGCGGUUGCCCGGCCCAACGCUGACGGGCAGAGGCGACGGCGGCGUCGGAGGAGAUGAGGAAGGGGAAGCAGUACUAUUGGACCUCAUGGGAUCCAAUUAUAUAUUACAUGGAUUAUGAAACACAGAUGAGGAGGAGAAAAAAUUUGAACAAAGUUGUUCUCAAGCUUGCUAUAUAUUGUGGGGUGUCUCUUUUUUACUUCAAUGCUUGCAUGCAUGUAGGUUAACCUAACGGUCGGUUAGAACGAUCAGUGUGGUUUUGCAUGUGCCUAUAACCGACAUUCAAAAUCUUUUUACUCCACCAACUUUGCUAGCAUGUAAUGUAAAUAUUUUAACAAGCCCUUAAAAAAUUAAAUACAAAGUAAAAUACAAAAUCCAAGUGAAAUGAGAUUCGCUAAUAAAAAAACUUACUUUUUAACUAUAGGUGGAAUGCACAGCACGACAUGGUGUGUGGGACGCUGAUGGAAAAAGAUCGUUUAUGAACGUCCAAGGACUAAGCACUCUGGCUAGUAUACUAAUUACUUGGGCUUUAGCAUUUUGAAAAUCUAACGGAUUAAUUAUUAGUACUAGUUGGCUCGGUCAUUAAUUAUCUUUUGAUUUGGUAUCCAAUUACUGGUUAUAAUAGUGGCAGUGAGACAAAUUAAAAGGGUAAUUAAUUAAUUAAUUAAGCUAAUGUUCCUUAGUCCAUCACAAUGAUUUCUGUGGAGGAAAUUAUGUAGAGUGUUGCUGGAUUACUAUCGGUAGUAACAGCUCGAUUUAAUUACUAUCGAUUUAUUUUUGAUGAUAGAGCUUCAAAAUUGACGAUUAGCACUAUUGAACAAGAUCUAGGCCAUUUAAACUAUUUAUGAAUCAAUUUUUUUUUUUUUUGUGACAUCGCUAAAUAAACGAUCAAAGGUUCACAAAAUUUGAAAUUUAAAUGAUCGAUAUGUUUUUUGAGAAUAGGUAGCACGUGACCUGCUUCAUUCAUUGAAUGGAUAAAUUUGGCUACAGAGGUGAGGCAACGAAGGCCUCGAGAAAAAACAACAUCAGAAGGGGUAAAAUGAUCGAUAUGUUAUAUUUGCUCGUUUAACGGUAUAGAAGAGUUUAAAUCAGCUAAAUUUUUAUUAAAAAUUUUUUAAAAUUAUUAUAAGGUCUAGACUCUAGAUCUUGUAUGUAAAAAUUAUAUCAUCACUUAUAUAUAAAACUGGGAAAUUCGAACUUAAGUUUUGGAUUGCCUAAUGCCUGACUACGAGACUACCUGUGGGUUUUUAAGAGGGGGUAAAAGUAAUGUGAAGGCCCAAUAUUUAGGAUGAUGGUUGAUUAAUUGGGCCGGCCCAUCAAAGUAACAAACAAACCGGCCCACAGCCCACUCCGUUGUAACUCGUAAUUUAGUGAAAUACAGAGAGUCCUUAAUUAAAGUACAUCUUAAUCAAAUAAUUAAUUUCUUAGAUUUGAUUUAAGAAUCCAAAUUCCAAACAUUCACGCCAACUAAUGCGUGACAACUAAAUAAUUAAGUUAUUAAUCUCACAAGUUGAGUACACCAUGUGCAAAAUGUCUCAUGAAUUCAAGGCGUAAUUAAUUAUAUUUGUAUAUAUAUUUUUAAUAUUUAAAUUUAGUAUUCUGAUGAAGUAGAUGAUGGCAAAGGGGUUUGUGGAAACCACGCGACUACACAAUAGAAUAAUAAGAUAACAGAGUUGGUGCGAAGUAAAAUUAAAAUGGUAGGUAGAUUCAGGCCACCUUCCUCAAAAGUUGAAAUUUAAAAUUUAAACAUGAUGCAAGGCAUAAUGUUUGAGUGACUUUGUUAGGAAGCAACAAAUAGCAAGUCAACAUGCUGCUGACUGAUUCAAAUUAAGCAAAUUGAAAAAUUAUAUAAUAAAUUUAAAAUUUUGAAAAGUUAGAUACUUGACUAAGAUGGUCCAUUAUUUAUAUGAGUUUUACACGUUGUUAUCUUAGUUAAACAAGAACUGAUUAAAUAUUGGUACUAUAUAUGGCAAAUCGCUACUAUUAACAUAUAUUAUUCACCAACUGUCCAUAGCGCAAAUGACAGAAAAUUUGAUGAUUGGUAUUCAAUAUAUUCUAAGUCCGAUGGCUAGUUAUUUCAUAUUUAUAGCUAAAUUCUUUUUCAAAUAAAAAGUAAAAUUUACAUAACCUACUACCUUUCUCUCUCUCUCUCUCUCUCAAAAAAAAAAAAAAAACAUUACUCAAAACAUGGUAUACCACCACUUUCACUAUUAUUUAAAUGCUUGAUAUAUGGAUAAGCAUCACAAGCCCAUGGUUUCUCAAAUCACCUCCUCUAGUUGGUUAAUUAGCCAACUAAGAAAAAGAAUACUUAUCCCCCACUAUAUAUUUUCCCAAGUACUCCUAAUUGCCUAUACUAGAGAGAGAGAGAGAGAGAGAGAGAGAGAGAGAGAGAGAGAGAGAGAGAGAGAGUUAUGGAGGAGAAGGGGUUCUCCCUCAUCAUGCCAAGCUUCUCUCUCUUCUUCCUAGUUGCCAAUGCAUCCCUUGUGAGCUCCCAAACAGAUUCAUGCUCCUCCAAGCUAAGUGUUGGCAACCUCAUACCUUUCAACACCUCUUCCCUCAGCUGCUUCUCUGCAUGGAGCUCUGAAGAUUUCAUUUUAAGGGUAUGAAUCUUAACUUGCUAUAAACAUGCUCGAAAAUACAUAUGUCUGUGAUCUUAUGUUUUUUAAAAAAUAUAAAAGUUAGAUAUUUGAUAAACAAAAAAUUUAAAUGAGCUGACAAUUUACAUGAAAAAUCGUUUGCGCCGUUCAGUAUGGUAAGGCGGGGGCCAGUGAAUGGAGCUUUGUACUAUCAGCACCAGACGUUGGCACGUAUAUCUCGAUUGGCUUCUCAUCGAACGGGAUGAUGGUCGGGAGCAGCGCGAUGGCCGGAUGGGUCUCCGGUGGGGGGUCAGGCACCGUGAAGCAGUACUACCUGGGCGGGACGAGCUCGCGGUCGUGCCCACCGGACCAAGGGAGUUUAAAGCUAGUGCAGGGAAUGUCGUUGAUCGUGUCGCAAAAUUCGCGUUUGUUUUUGUCUUUCCAGUUAACAGGCCAACCGUUCCAGAAAGUGAUCUAUGCCGUCGGGCAGAGCGGUAGCUUGCCCUCGUCGAGUGGAUACUUGCCGCAGCAUAGAACUAUGGCCUCAGGGACCAUCAAUCUCUCUGGUGGUGGCGGCAGCGGCGGCAGCACUGUUAAGGGUGGCAAGAUUCCUCUCAUAAUUAUUUCGUAUAGUUUACGUUAGAUAUUUGACAAACAAGAAGUCUAAAAUUUUUGACAGAAGUGAAAAACAAAAAUAACAUGACGAAAUGUACAGGUGAUGAUAUCGAAAGUGAACAUGAGGGAGGGUCUAAUCAAGGAGGAAGCGACGAUGUCGGAGAGGGAGGAGGAGCCGACGGAGGUUCGCAAAUGCCAGCAAACGGUCACAGCUCGAGCUUGAGCUCGAAAAGGAAGCACGGCCUACUAGCCAUAAUCGGCUGGGGGGUAGUAAUCCCCGUCGGGGUGGCGGCGGCCCGAUUCUUCAAGCAAUGUGACCCAUUCUGGUUCUAUUCACACAUCUCGGUCCAGGGGAUCGGGUUCGUCCUAGGUGCGAUCGCUCUGUUCACAGGAUUCAGGCUCGAAGACGACUCGAUCGACGUCCACAGGACUCUUGGUGUGGUCAUCUUGGUUUUUGGGUGCCUUCAGGUAAAGUUACUAGUCAUGCUAGAGUUCGAGUCGAGUCGGUGUUUUCGGUUAGCCAGACUGGGGCUAAGUGUGACUUGAUCAAUCUACACUUGUGCAGGUUAUGGCUGUUCUAGUUAGGCCAACAAAGGAAUCGAAAGCAAGGAAAUAUUGGAAUUGGUACCAUCACUAUGUUGGUAGAGCUACAAUUUUCAUUGCAAUUGGGAACAUCUUUUAUGGGUUUAAGUUAGCAAAAGAGGACAAAUCAUGGAGCUAUGCAUAUGGCAUUUUUGUGGGGGUUUUUGGAGUCAUAUACCUUGUUCUUGAGGAGUGGAGGCGCAAGAAUAUACAGUUGAAUCCAUGAUAAAUUUAUGUAACUUUUUUCCUUUUUUUUUUUAAUCUUUUCCUGCUUUUUUUCUUUUCUUUUCUUUUCUUUUUUUGGUUAGUUUACUAGUACUGUACAAUAUAUCCUAUUUGCUAUAUUGUUGUUAUUUCAUAUUUCUUUGUAACAUACAGGUUAUAGACUAUUUGUUCUUUGAUUUUAUUUGGUCUCUAAAUUGGUUAAGGAAUGAUCCUCAUAAAAUAAAGAAGAUAUACGAAGUAAGAAGGUAAAAAUAUAUCAUUAACAGCAAUGUCAUGAGCCAAAUCAAAUUUCAAUAAAUCCACUAUGAAGAUGUUCUAUCUUGAUAAUUACGUUACUGUGUUUAACGUACUGUUCAGCAAUUUUCAAUAUUAAAUAUUUAAUAAAUGCUUGUUGUUGGAGUGGGCGAAUCUUAAGAGGGAAAACAAAUAAGCGUAUAUUGAAUAUAUAUAAAUAUUAAAAGUAUAAUAUUUUUUACUUUUUAAAUAAUUAAUUAUUUUAUUUUAUUAUUGCAGUUUCUACUGUUCUAUAACAGAGGUAGGAUUUGACCAAUAACUUUUUUUUUUUUUUUUUUUUUUUUUUUUUUUUGAGAAGAAGCCCGUAGGUAGCAUCCAUAUCAUAACUUGCGUGAUGCAGAAUUUGGUUGAUUGAAAAUGUUCAUUUAGAGUAAAUUUGUGUCUCCGGCUGUUUCUAUACUAGAUAGACAAUUUUGACGGAAGGGGGGAAAUGCAGAAUUUGCUUUAGUAGUUUGUGAUGAUACUUGAGAGAAAUAAGUAGCCCGUGUGAAUCUGAUAAGUAUGUUGGAAAGACUAUGAUGGUGAUGCUUAAUUUGAGUGGGGCAUGCUGAAGGACCUUGUUGUUUUCUGAUUCAUGUUGCAGUGUGUAGGAGAAAAUUAAAAUAGCUGAUUGAUUGUUUAGUGGAGCAAUGCUACGCUUAGAACUACGCUCUAUGACUCUUUUCAAACUCUAACAUGAUGGGAUGGAUAUUUUUUCCUUGACUUCAUNUUUUUUGAGAGCUAGGUAGCACGCUACCCGCUUCGUUUAUUUCAUUUAGAAAUAAAUUUAGCUAGAAAUGUGAAUCAACUAGGAUUCGAAUUUGGGACCUCAGUACUAAUCAUCAAGCCCUUUGCCACUUGCUCUAGGAAUGGUCCUUCGCCAAUUAAAGCAAGUUGCCAAGAUAGAAAGAAGUGUUUGUCCUUAUGACCGAAGAAAAAGCUUUAUGUUUUUUUUUUUCUCCUCUCUUUUUUUUUCCGCCAUAGUCAAAGAAAAAGCUUUUUGUUACUCCCCAAGUCCAACACAUCCAGAUCACUGUACCGUACAUCAGGGCGCGUGGCUUCCACAAGGCAUUGGAUUUUUCUAGUUAUACGGACACACAAAUUUUUAGGUCACCUCUCGUGGCGUGUGAAUUUUUUUUUUUUUUUUUUUUGGAUUAAACUGGGGGACCCUAUUUGAGAAAGAACCUCGUGGCGUGUGAUUUAAUAACGAUCACAUUUAUAACUCAAAAGCGAUUAUAAUUCUGCUAUUUGAUAUCGUUUGUAUUUAUAAUUACUGUGGGGUUUAAUUAGUAUUUUCGCUUCGGAAGAGUUUCUAUCAAACUAGUCAAUAGAAUUUAGAUAAAAAGUUACUGGAAUUAAAGAUUAUAAAAAUAUCAAAGUUCAGAAGGUGUUAUAUGGUUAAACUCGUGGAUCUUUGAUUAUGAAGCUAAAAAAAAUAUCAAAGGUGGGUGAAUUUUAAAAAACAAACAUCCCUAAAUGCCCAAAAUAUAUUUUUUUAAAAAAAAUUAAAGUAAUAUUGUCAAAACUAUUAUGAUAUUGUCCGAACAAAAAAUUUAAAUUAUAAUUAAAUAUAAUGUAUCCGUUCUGAUAGUACCGAAGAGCAACGAAUCUAACUAGGCUGUGAUCAGCGAGCGCGUGGCCUCCACGCACUAAUGGAUUUAAAAAUUAACAAUAAAAGGAUAAAAAAUAAAAAAGAUGGGCAGGUAAUUAAGGACUAAGAAUCAGCUGUUGGUGCAGUGCAUGUGUUCACAUUUUAAUUACACUGACUUUAUUAUAUGUAUCUACUGGCAAAACUUUUAUAAUCCACUUUCUCUCUCUAUAUUUCUCUUCCUUAAUUAAUUUAUAACUCAAACCUGUAUGUAUAAAAAAACUCCAGCUUCUAGAAUCAUCUAUUCUUUGACACAAGCAAUAAAGAAAUUUCUCUUCUUUUUUGAAAAAAAAAAAUGAUGCAGCUUCCUUUUCCACCUGCUUUGAUUUGAAGAGAAGUAAUGAUAUAUUGACCCGAUAGAUGCAAUUUUAAUUUGAGCAGAUCAGACCUAUUAAAUAUGGUCAAUUUCAGUUUGUUAGUAAUGAUUAAAUUUGAUAAAUUCUGCCUCUGUUUUAGUUCACAUUCCAAUCAUCACUAUUCUAUUGUUACAAUUUUUCAUACAUAAAAUGAUCGGCAUUGAAAGUGAGAUACGAUAGAGGGCAGAUCGACACUGCACGGAUAAAUGAAUGCUCCAAUUAAAUGAGGGGAACUUUCACUUUUGACACAACCUAGAAUCUGAAGUUUGACGCCAAUCCUAGUUUCACGUACGCUAAGAGUCUUUUUUUGAUUCCUAAAGUUUGAUCUUGCUUUCAAUCUUGUCUCUGAAAUUUGAUCUUGGUUUUAGUGUCAAUUUCAAUCUAAAUAUAGCGGCUUAUUAGUGACGUGAUAUUUUUUCGGACUGUAAUUAAAUUAGCGAAAAGACUUAUUUUGUGAACUAAAUUGCUUUAAUUUUUAAAAAUACUAUUUGCAUAAAAUCAAAAUUAGGGUCAAACUUGUAUCCAAUAUCGCUUGUAUCACCAUCUAAAGAGACAUGAAUAUGAAAUAUUCAAAAAUAGAACAUAAGGGGUCUCAAUUAAAAAUAAAAAGUUAAUUAAGAGGCCUUUUUCAGAAUAUGCUAUAGUUAAGGAGGCUUUCACACAUUUUCACCUGGAAUUUGUAUAAGUGUAUAAAUAUUUUUAUCAUCUAGAUGAAUCUGACUCGGACAUAGCGCGUGUCCUCCACACGGCAAUGCACUUUUAUUAUUAUAUAUAUAUAUAGUAAUUAUUUUUAAUAUUUUAUUAGUGAAACUGGAGUGAAAUUUCUCAAAACAGUGGGCUGAUUUGGAAAAAUGCCUUCGUAAACAACAUGAAAUAAAAUAAAUAAAUGAAUAAAUAAAUAUAUGUAGGUAGAGACCAAGAAUACCACCUUCUUCGAAAGAACAUAAUCUUAGAUCUAUAGAUUCUGUUUCAUAUAAUAAUUUUUUAAAAUUUAUGGUGACGUUAUGUUAAUUAGAGCUUCUACUUUUAAAAUUUAAAUUUUAAAAAAUAAUUUUCACUUGUAGCGGAUAUGUUUCUCUUCAAUCUAUACAAUUCCAAUUAUAACAAGUAAGAAUAAUAAUAAUAAUAGUAAAAAGAAAUCCUACCUAUAAAUUAUUUAUGAUUGGUUAUAACAAGAGGACUCAAUCAAAGUCAAAAGAAUGAAAAGGCUCACCAUUUACAUAGAGCUUAUGGCAUAAUAAAGUGAAGUUCAAAUGGCAAAAUUCUUUAUUAUAAUUUAACACCUACAACUAGGGGUGUAAACGAGCCGAAUACGAGCGAGCUGAGAUUGGCUCGUUAAAAUAUCGAGUUGAAAAAUUCAGCUCGUUUUUGGCUCGUUUAUUAACGAGCCGAACAUGAACGGGCUCACGAGCUGGCCAAUGAAUAAUAAAUUAAAAAAAAUUAGAUUAAAUAUAUAUAAAAAGUAAAUUUAUAAAAUCUUAUCCAUUAGACUUUGAUCUAAUAAUUAAAACUUUACAUAUAAAUGAAUUUUUUUAUAAUUAAGCUUGCAUUUAUAUUUUUAUUUUGCUAAAAAUUAAAUAAUAAAAAUAUAUAUUAUAUAUAAUUAUUUAUUNGCAUUUAUAUUUUUAUUUUGCUAAAAAUUAAAUAAUAAAAAUAUAUAUUAUAUAUAAUUAUUUAUUUACAUAUAAAAAUAUAAAUCAAAUAAAUUAUAUAAAUAUAAAAUAUAUGUAUUCGAGCUGUUAUUGAGCCGAACACGAGCGAGCUGAUCCUAACUCGUGUUCGGCUCGUUUAUUAAACGAGCUAAAAAAUUCAGCUCGUAUUCAGCUCGUUUACUAAACGAGUGAUUCGAUCUCGAGCUCAUUUCGAACACGAACUGGCUCGCGAGCAGCAAGCUGGAUUGCCACCCCUACCUACAACUAGUGCAUGGUAUAUGUCUAACCACCCUCUUGCUUCUUUUUUUCUUUUUUUUUUUAAAAAAAAAAUUAAUUAGAUAAUCAAAGGUUGAAAAUUAAGCAACAAAUUAACCCCCCUUAAUAUAUUAAUUUUAUAUCUCAAUUAAGGACUACACCUUUCUCAAUCCCCUGCAACUUGCUUUGCUAUAAAAGACUACUAACUUAUGCAUAAGACAUCAUCACAUCAUCUUAAUCUCCCCUCCUCUCCCUGUUUCCUCCAAAACUGCCCUCAGAUUAACCAGAGAGAGAGAGAGAGAGAGAGAGAGGAGAUCAUCUUCUAUGGUGAUCAUGAACAUGAUCUUCUGGAUUCUGCUGAUCUUGGGCUUCUCCUCCUCUCUUGUGAGCUCCCAGUCAUCAGAUUCAUGCUCCUCCAGCCUCAGUGUCAGCCACCUCAUCCCCUUCAACACCUCCUCAUUCAACUGCUUCUCUGCAUGGAGCUCAGAAGGAUUCAUCAUGAGGGUAGCUAUCUUCAUUUAAAAUAUAUACGUUUUACAGAAGCACAGUUUGAAUAGAGCGUACUUUCAAAAAAAAGAAAGUGCCGUAAUAUUUUCAUUUGGAAUUUGUGUGGUCUUCCCGUAAAGUAAAGCACUGAUUGAGAAAAUAGCAUAUCAUAUAUAAUUGUUCAUAAAAAUUUUACUACAGAUGCCUAUCAUUUCAGAUGCCUAUAAUUGAGAAAAUAGUAUAUCAUAUAUAAUUGUUCAUAAAAAUUUUAUUACAGAUGCCUAUCAUUUAAGCCAAACAUGCAUACACUGCACUAGUAAGUACUAUCAUAUAUAUUGUUCGUCAAAACCCCAACACUCCAAAUGCACCUUUGAUCAUGAUCAGUAUGGGAAGACGGCAGCGACCGACACGUGGAGCUUCGUCCUGUCAGCCCCAGACAGCAGGACCUACGUCUCCGUCGGCUUCUCAGCGGACGGCUUCAUGGUGGGGAGCAGCGCGGUGGCCGGCUGGGUGAGCAGCAGCGGCGUCGGGAUCGUCAGGCAGUACUACCUCGGGGGGACGAGCUCCAGCAGCUGCCCGCCGGGCCAAGGAACUCUGCACCUGACUCCCAACUCGUCGCUGAUCGUGUUGCAGUCUUCGCGGCUGUACCUCGCGUUCCAGCUGACGGGCUCGGCGCAGCCCCAGCCCUACCUGAUCUACGCGGUCGGGCCGUCGAACAGCCCGCCGUCGUCGUCGGAUUACUAUCUCCCCCGGCAUCGGAAUCAGGCUUCUGCUUCUGUCAACUUCGCGACCGGUGAGUUUAAUUAUUUCUGCACUAUUUUUUUUCUAGCGCAAGUGAUGAAAGAUUUGAUUGGUGGUAUCCCAAGUUUUAAAUUUAAAACCAGAUUGCUUGGUAUCUUCAGCUAAAUUUAUAUAAUUUAAAUUUUGUUUGCUCAAAAUUGGUGCAGGAGUGAUUUCUACUGCGGGAGGGGCCACACCGGGAAACAAAAGGUGGCAUGGGAUUUUAGCCACAUUUGGGUGGGGAAUUUUGAUGCCUGCAGGGGUUACGAUGGCACGAUAUUUCAAGCACCACGAUCCCUUGUGGUUCUACUCCCACAUCUCCGUCCAGGGGGUCGGGUUCGUGCUCGGCGCAGCCGGGGUGCUCCUCGGGUUCGGCCUCGGGGACGAGGGCGCCGCUGGGAACGCCGACACCCACAGGGGCCUCGGCGUCGCCAUCUUCGUCUUCGGCAUCCUCCAGGUACUGUCGUACGUAGCGUCUCUGUUUAAACUAUUUCUGAAUUAUUUCCAAUCAAAUCGAUCUAUUAGAGUCCCUCGUCUCUAAAAGGUUUGAGUUUGAGACUUAAUUUAACAAAAAAUCAGUGCUUCUUCGAACAGUGUACCAGUGCAGAAAAAAAUUAUUGCAUGUGCUUGGUUCACCAUGCGAGUCGUGGACUGUAUAUGUAUGGUGAUCUUCUCUGUUUUACAUUUCUAACUUCAAUCUCCAGCAUGCGGAUGCAAGAGGCAGAACCCGGGGCAGAUAGCAUUUUUUGGGUGGGUUGGGGAAGAUUGAUUUUUCUUCUAAUUUNAAUUAAAGCGUUUGUCCACUUUAACGAAUAAAAUAAUACAUAAGAGGUCUCAAACUUAGAUUAGAGCAUAAGUAGCUUACACGUAGUUUUACACCAAUUCUAUACUAAAAGGCUUUCUUCGUAUUACAAUAACCCAACAAGGAAAUUAGUCAUAACAAUAUUUGAAACAAAUAACAACAGGAGAAAUUAAUGUGUUCCCCGGGAACAAACAUAACAUUAGAAGAUUACAUAUUUAAAAAUUACAAACUUCAGGAUUUUUUAAGUUUUCUAUAAGUAUAAAAGUGAGGUUGGAAUCUAUUUCCUCGUUUCAAUAGACAUGUAUAAUUAUUAUAUAUUGUUUCCCACGCAAACCAAGCGUAAUACUUUCUAAUGAUCUUUAUUUUUUAUAGACUCUUAAAAUAAGGAUAAGUAGGAUAAUGAUUCUUACAAUUUAAGAACACAAACCAAGCGUGUCAUUAUAAUGAUGAGAAUUUAAGAAGGCGACCACGCGAUCCAUCAUCUCGUUGGCCUUGUCGCAUUUCGGGUUUCGGAGGUGGAAAACAUGCUCCUCCCCCUCCGACUCCAACAGCUCCACUCUCCUCUCAAACCCGCUCCGCUUCAGGCCCUCGCAAUACUCCCUCCCUCUCUCCCUCAACACGUCCUUCUCCGCCACCGCCACCAUCAACCUCUCGCACGGGAGCGUCCUCAACCUCUCCUCCUCCCCCUUCGCCAUGGGAUUCAACCUCGGAUCCUUCGCCACCUCCGUCCCAGGGCUCACCAAAUCCCAAAACCCCUUCGUCGUCCUCCUCCUCCUCUCCGCCUCCUCCGCCCCGAUCUCCUCCUCCUCCUCCUCCUCCCCCCAGAACCACGGGUGGAUCAGGAUCAAGCCCUCGAUCCUGACCCCUAAACCCUCGGCGGCGACCCUCGUGGCGACGUUGUGGGCGAUGUUCGCCCCGGCGCUGUCCCCGCCGAGGAAGACGCGCGAGAGGUCGCCGCGCUCGGCGAGCCACGGGUCGGCGCGCGCCGCGGCCCAGCGCAGCGCGGCCCACGCGUCGUCGUAGGCCGCGGGGAGCGGGUGCUCCGGGGCGCGGCGGUACUCGACGGAGACGACGAGGAUUUGAGCCCUCGAGGCGAGGGCGUUGAGGUAGGCGUGGUAGGUCGGGGACGCGGCGCUCUCGACGACGAAGCCGCCGCCGUGGAUGUAGACGAGGACGGGGAGGAGCUUCGGCUUCGUCUCGGAUACCGCCGCGUCGUCGUCUAGGUUUCGGGGGAGGUAGAGGCGGGCGGAGGGGAUGGGGGAGUCGGGGUGGAGGGGGACGUCCUUGGAGAGGACGGAGGUGGCGGGGUCGAGGCCGGGGGGGACGACGGAGGUGCCGAGGAGGCGCUCGACGCGGCCGCUCUUGUAGAGGCGGAAGAAGGGGGCGGAGUCGAGGGCGACCUCGUCGGAUGCUUCGGAGGCCAUUAAUGGCGGAUUUGGUGACCUCGGGGAGAAUUGUGAGGGCGAUGCUGAUGAUGCAAAUUUACUAAAGAGGUGAGUGAAAAGGGUCUUUCGUUUUAUUACUUUUGGUUAAUGUAAUAUCCCUUAGGGCUCGGAUCAGGUUCUCAGUGCUUCCGGUCGCGAAUCCGAGGUAACGUAAUCGGUAACCGAGGCUAGAGAGGUAAGGAAAUAGAAAUAAAAUUUGGGGUUGAGAUAGAGAGAAGAGAAAUAGAGGUAGAGAGAUAGACAGAGAUGAGCAUUGAGAGGUGAGGGUUAGGAAAAAGAGUUGGGAUAGAGAUAAGGGAUAGAGAAGAAGAAGGGUUUGGAGAAAAACUUUUGGAGAGAAAAUAGACUAAUUCAUUUCAUUCAUAAUCUCAGCAAUUACAUGUUUGUAUCUAUAUAUACUGCCUAACACUUGUACUGAAAUUAAAAAUAAACUAUGCCAAACAGCAAAAGUGAUAAAUUGAGGAAGAAAACUCAGUGGCCUGCCAUCUGAAAGUAGUUGGGCCGCAAGUGGGCUGUCCAGUCCAGAAUGCGUAGUAGUUGGGUAAACGGACUCGGGUCCGCCCUUCUCCGCACUACCCGCAACCUGGCGGGGCUUGGGUUCGCAUUUUAUGCCCGAUCCGGUUUUCUGGAGAUCCGACCCGCAAGUCCCCUUGUCCGCCCCCGGUACCUAUUCCGGCAGACCUUCUCCUACCUCGUCGGCUUCUCUUCGCCUUUGCCUUCGCCUUCGCCGUGCUUCCAAGAUGCCCUAAUCGCCUCUGAUUGUUCUCCGUCCGCCCGCCUGAGCCUCCCUGCAACCGCACUCCCCUCCGGUCCAUCUCGGAGCGCUUCCUCCCUCAGCGGCACGGCUGCCACGCCCAGUACAAGGCCAGCAUGGGCUCCACCACCUCUCUCGCCAUGUCCGUCAUCAUCAACGCCAGCCCGGCACCUACUUAGACGACAAGGCCUCGAGCUCGCUCUCCACCUUGCUGUUACCAUUUAUUCCUCUUCUACUGUAAAGUUGCUAUUUUUACUAUUCUCCCAUACUAACUACUACUGCUACUCCUACCAUUUAUUCUUCGGUUCUUACAUUUAGGGCUUAUUUGGUUCAAGGGUGUAAUUGAAAUGGAUAAUGGAAUGGAAAUAAAUUUGAAUGGUAAUUGGAAUGGACUCCUCCAGAUGUUUGGUUUAUUUGUGGAUUAGAAAUUAGAAUGAGUUAUUCAUAUUUCAUUGUUUGGUUCGUAUAAACUAAAAAAAUUAUAGGAUACUGUAAUACUAAUUUUACUUUCAAAUUGCGCCUCGGCUACGUCUUCGGCGGCGGCACCAUCAUCUGCUCCUAGCCCUCCGCCUCGCGGGGAGCGCCGGGGCCGCGGCCGGGGAGCCCGAGGUUACCGCUACCCCUCCCCCCCGCCAUCUCCGCUCGCCUCUGCGGCCUCUGCCCCAGCUACUGCCGCAGCUGCCUCCUCCGCCGCAGCCGCCCCUGCUUGAGCCUCGGCUUCUUCGCCAGCUGCGCCGGCGAGAACAUCUACGCCUACGUGCCGUAGGUAAGCAUGUGCUAGAGCAGGAACGGCCUAAGCCUUAGGUACUAGAACGAGAACGAAAACGAAAACGAAAGCGUUCCUCAUCCCUAAACUAAACCUCGCGGUCUCCUCCUUCUUCUUCCUCUUCUUCGUCUACACUCUACCCUAAACUCUAGACCAAAAUCUUGAACUGAAACGAACGAAAAUCAAAUAUCACAACAGGUUAAUCUCAACCAAAAGAGAUUCCACAUGAAAAGCUGAAGAAAUAAUAUUAGUAGAUAUGAUAAAAUCAUUAUCCCAAACGAAUGAUAUGAGAAUACUCAUACUAGCAGAAGCAUGAGUAUUCAAUAAAAGUUACUAUCUCGAAGGCUUAGCUGUUAGGUAUGGCGAUUUGUGAUAAAUCUCGUAAAUUUUGAAGAUCUUUAGUUUUAAAUAUUAAAAAGCUAUAAUAAAUGGAAUACUAGUUUUCAAGUGUUUUAACUGUUAAAAAUUGCCGGCCAUACCUUAUGAACGAUCAAAUUGCCACAUUUUUUUAGUCUUAUCCAACUUAAAAACUAUUUUUUAAAAUAAGUGAUGGAUCUAUUUCCAGUUAUUGAGGCUAGAAUUUAACUUCCUAGGCUAAUAGACAAAAAUUCUAGAACAAGCUAAAACUGGCAAGUAAAAUAUGGGCGAACUACCUCAAAUAUUACUAAAGCUUUUUAAUGUUUUAAAUAAAAGAUCUUUAAAGUUUAUGAAAUCUAGUACAAAUUGCCAAACCUAGCAGCUAAGCUUCCGAGGUUGUAGCUUUUAUUGAAUACUCAUGCUUUCCAAGAUAUGAGUAUUCUCAUAUCAUCGGCCUGAGCAAUCAUUAUUAAUAUUAUUAUUUUUGUCUUCUUUCUUGACGUACCUCUUUUUAACGACGGAGUUGUUGGGUCUCGUCGGCGCCCACAACUGAACAUGUCAUUUUAAUUUAUGAUCAUUAUUUUUAUUAUUAUUAAUAAAUCAUUAACUGACAAAGAUCACAUUCACUGUUUUUUUGAACUAUCAACUAUGAACUCCAAGAUUCAAACUUAAUAUCAACUAAGUGUAAAGGUCGAUUCAAAUAAAAAUUUUUUUUAUUUGCUUUGCCUAUCAUACAACGAUAGAAAGAGAGAAUCUUUUUGUAAGUCAUUAUUAUUAUAAAUCAUAAUAAUUUAUAAUUAAAGAUUAAUAAUAAUAAUAUUAAAAAUAAAAAUUUAUAAUCAUCUCUCCCUCCUCUCUCUUUUUUAAAAGAGAGAGGAUUAAUCAUAUAUUUAUGAUAAUUCAAUGGAAAUUAAAAAAUUAGGUUGUUUUUUCCGAUUUAAUCUUUAAAAUUUUUUUCUUCCGAUCUAACCUUUAAAAAAAAGGAUUACUCUGAUCUGUACCGUAAUCAAGAAUCUACCUUCGCAGAUCUAGUAUGUGGCGUUUACCCUACUUACUGAUCGUAUUGUGAAUUCUUUUAAUUUUUCUAAUCGAAGACCUUGCUGAUAAUGGAAGUCUAACACCUUAAACUGUAAAUGAUGACUUCUUCUAAAAUCUAUUCCUUUUUAGAAACCAACAGAAAAAAAUGUCAUCUUAAGCAAAGCACACGAAUCAAAAAUUAAUUUCUCCUUUACGAUUCAAGCAGAGAGGAAAACCUCGAAACGACCACAUAUUCGUUAAGCUGAUUUUUUCCGGUAAAAGGUAUGUGUAGUAUACCACAAACGAACAUGCUAUUUAACGGGCGGUUACACGGCAACGAUUCGAAAAUAGAAAUUUUUUUACGAAAACUUAUUAGAUGACGAGACCGGCAAGACCCGGGAGAGGGCCGUGCCGGGCUUUGCCCGUGUCUGGUACGGUACGGGCCGGCUCCUCUCCGCCCGCCGGGCUGUACCGUGUCGGGCACGGAAGGUUCGGCUUCCUGACACGGCCCGGGCUUCGAUCUGUAGAGCCUGGACCAUGCCAGGUUAGAUUUUAACUUCGGUCCAGCCCGGCCCAGCCCGGCCCGGCUGUGAGGUCAGUAUCACUUUUUAGGUCAAAAAAACCAAACAAACCAAGUAGGUAAAACCUAUACCUUACUCUUAGCUAAAACUAGUUUAGGCUAAUUAAAACAAACCAAGCGUACUUAGCUAAACCCUAAAGAUAAAGCCUGACCUUACCUUUACCAGAUAAUCGGAAGUUGAACUAAGGCCAGAAGAUCGGGCUUCGGAUACACUGGCAGAGUGGGAGGAAGAGAAGUGAGGAAAGAGUAUUUUUUUUUUGGAUAAGAGAGAGUUUUAAGAUAGAGAUUGGAUGUAAUUAUUUUCAAAAAUUUUUAUUUAAACUGUAAAAUAAAACUUUUUGCAUAAUCUCUUAUCAUAAUAUAAAAAGUAUUUAAAAUUUAUUAUAUUUAAAUANAACAGCACUCCCCGCCGGUCCAUCUCGAAUUGCUUCCUCUCUCAGCCGCUCUGCCUCGUCGGCUCCACCCUACGCGCCCCGCAUGGCUGCCACGCCCAGUACAAGGCCAGCAUGGGCUCCACCACCUCUCUCGCCAUGGCCGUCAUCAUCAACGCCAGCCCGGCACCGACUUCGACGACAAGGCCUCGAGCUCGCUCUCCACAUUGCUGCUACCAUUUAUUCCUCUUCUACUGUAAAGUUGCUAUUUUUACUAUUCUCCCAUACUAACUACUACUACUACUCCUACCAUUUAUUCUUCAGGGUUGUUACAGAGAGGAGGAGGGCUUCCUUCCUUCCUCCCCAGGAGCUUAGGACUCAAGGCCCAAGGCAAAUGCCUUGGGCCUUGAGAGCCCGGGCAGUGUUGGCCCGGCCGGCAUGGCCCAAAUGGGCCGUGCCGUGCCGGGCCGUCGGGCCACAUAUGAGCAGCCCAGCACUGAGGAGGCUCGGGCCGGGUCGGCCCGGCAAAGAUGCUACAGUAUCCGUGCCGUGCUGUAGACCGGCCCGAGGCCAUGCCGGGCUGGGCGGCCCACGUGCCGCCCGGCCCGUUUUACACCCCUAGAUGGAAGAAAAUAAUUGACAGAUUUUUGGCCUCUUUUAUAGAUACAAGGCAGAUUGUGUUUUUAAGCGGGUUGUGAUGGAUUCGGAACAGAUUAAUUUGUAUCCUAUUUUUUUGUCCCCACUUUUAUUUCAUUUGAUAUGGGUCGGGACAUUCUUUCGCUCUAUUUUCUUAGCAGAUCAGAGCGAACUUUUUUUGGACCUUUGCUUAACAUCCUAUUCAGAGUGGAUCGGAUAGAAACUCCACUAGUCCAGAUCCAUUUGCAUGCGUACCAGAGCUCAUAAAGAAAAAAUAAAAUAAAAUAAAAUGAAUAUUGGUAUUGGGUGAUUCUGGUUAAAGAAUCCAUUCUUUUUUAUCAUUCUUAAUUUCUUCUCAAUAUUACAAUUUGAUCCAAUCCCUAAGUAUAUGCAAUUCGUUUUUCUCUUUUUCGGUUUUUGGUUUCUUGUAACAGGUAUUGGCAUUUCUAAUACGGCCGGGUAAGGCCUCGAAGGUGAGGAGAUACUGGAACUGGUACCACCACUACGUCGGCCGGGCCGCCGUCUCUCAUUGGCGCACGAGUCGUCUUCGUGGAGCGUAUUCUACGGUAUCUUCAUCGGUGUAUGGGCCUUCGCCUGCGUAGUUCUGGAGGUGAAGCUGCGGAUGAGCGACUGAUAUACGCAUAUACUCUCUAUACGUACAUCAUAUAUAUAUACUUUCAUUGUUUCACAGUACUUUUAUAUAUACUAGUUCUCAUAUCUUAUAUUUUCUCUUUUCUAUGCUUUUUUUAGCUAUUUAGUUAGCUAUGUGUGGAGAUCUUGUAUGGGAGACUCUGUCAGUACCAUUCUAUUCUUGUACUGUGUUGCUAGCUUUUUAUUUAUCCUCUUUUACUUCUUUUGUUUUUUUUUUAAGGUUUGGAAUAUCACAGGUAAGCUUAUUUAAGCUCGUACCUUCUUUAUCAUGAAAUAAAAAGUUUGAUAGUUGAUACGUGAAGUUAUAAAUUCAAAGUUUAGUUGUUUUAUAUUUUCAACUAAAUUUAUCUUUUUAAAAAAACGAAACGGAUAGUAUAUUAUCUUUCACUCUCUCAAAAAAAAUAUAAAAAGAAAAACUAUGGACUGCAUGGUACCGGCCAAGUUCUUCAAUACUCUUCAAUACUCCAAACUAAAGUUUCUUAAAUCUAAGUGAUGAGCUUCUAUAAAGUAUCAGCUAAUUCUUUUUUGAGAGAUAGAUAGCAUACUACCCGCUUCGUUUAUUUUAUUUAGUAAUAAAUUUAGCUGGAAAUAUGAAUCAAUUAGGAUUCGAAGUUAGAACCUCAGGUACCUACCACAAAGUAUUUUGCCACUUGUUCUGAGGGCGAUCAGUAAGUAUCAGUUAAUUCAAACACCAUAUCAUAGUAUUAAGCUUAUUACAAGUUAUGUACUGCAUUGUCUUCAAAAUUAAUAAAGAGUUGAAUAGCAGUCAUAUCAUCUCCAACAAAUAAUGUGAAGCUCAAUGAAAAAAAGAGUACAUUACGUGACCCGGCCGAAACAUAGAUUGAGAGUCUAGUCACCAAUUACAAUCAAUUUGGAGAUUAAGCACCAAACUGAAACUUUGUGUUUAGUUGGUAACCAAUCGCAUAAUCUCCUCUUCAGAUAGCAUUCAAUUUUUCGCAGAAAAGCAACUGAAGGGAUCCAUUUUCCAACCCGAGGCCUUCAAAUGGAAAGCCCUAAACAUCCUCGUGCCGGACCGCCUAUCGGACAUCCGAUCGCAAACCUCAGAAACGACCUCCCAUCCCCUCUUCUUCCCCUCCUUUAGCCUCCUCCUCAGCCGAUAAAAUAUCGAGUUGAAAAGUUCAGCUUGUGUACGACUCAUUUAUUAACGAGCGAAAAACGAGUUGGCUCAUGAACCUCAGGUCAAAUUGUCAAUCCUACUAUCGGAUAAAAAGUUGGAGAUAAAUUAGAAAACUAAAAUCUUAGUCUAAUAACUGAAAUUCACAAAAAAAAAUUCUACUCGUUCGGUUCGUUUAUUUAACGAGCGGUCGGUCUUGAGUUUAUUUUGAGUUGAACACGAACAAGCUCGCGAAUAACAAGCUGGAUUUCCGGCCCUAAUCUCUUCUCUCUCUCUCUCUUUCCCCCCAUCUUUCUCUCUCAUGUAUAAGGAAACAUGCAUGCGGGUAGUAAGAUGAUCAUGAUCCAAGCACUUGUAAUCUCUUGUUUAAUUUGGUAGAAUUUGGUUUACAAUGAUGUAAUUAAUUAACAACACAGCUGAGUGGUGUUCACAGUAGAAAAGAGCAGCAGCAACAGCAACAUCUCAGCACCAGCCAUUCCAAACUGCAAUUAUAGACAAACAAUAAUAUCAUUUCUAAUUCUUAUUUCAAUAUUUCCGCACAAACAUGCAUAACUAAAUUCUUUGUAUAACGUAUUGUAUAGUAGGGUUUGUGCAUAUAACAAGUUACCACCAACUUAGGGUUAUAUACAUUAUACGAAAUAUUUUAAUAUUUACCUGAAGUUCCGCAGAUAAAGGGUGCGUUAAUGAGGACAAAAACGAAAUAACAAAGUGAGAUGCAUGGCAACGGUGAUAUCUUUAUGAAGUAACUUAUUAGUGCGAACUUCAUCUGAGCUGACCACACGCCGCAUAGGUUUACAAAUAUAUACAAUCAAACUAAGUUCUAAUAGUGACAUACAGAAUCUGACAAAUUUACUUUUUUUUUUUCCUGCAUAACUUGAUUUUGUCAGUAACUCCAACUUGCACCAUGCAUGGUGAUCAAAAUCUUAAUCAAAUGUAAAAUGCUGAUUCAUGCACACACAUGAUAAAAUUUCAUCAAAACAUAAAUCAGAAUUUCUAAACAUGAGAAAGAAUACACAAUCUCACCGUCUGCAGAAACCCCACCAUCUUCUUGGUGGAAAAGAUUGCUGCACAAGUGUGUCCAGUGAAAAAGCCGAGGGCUCAUCGCGUAAGAGCAGCGAGGCCUCUGGCGACAACCAAUCAGGAGGCGAGAAAGGCGGCGACGGCGAUGGGGACGGCGUGAACGGGUACUUGCGGUUGCCCGGACCGACGCUGACGGGCAGAGACGACGGCGGCGUGGGAGGAGACGAGGAAGGGGAAGCAGUACUAUUGGACCUCAUUGGAUCCAAUUAUAUAUUACAUGGAUUAUGAAACAUAGAGAAGGAGAAAAAUUUUGAACAAAGUUGUUCUCAAGUUUAUUAUUGUGGGGUGUCUCUUUUUCACUUCAAUGCUUGCAUGCAUGUAGGUUAACCUAACGGUCGGUUAGAAUGAUCAGUGUGGUUUUGCAUGUGCCUGUAACAAACAUUCAAAAUCUUUUUACUCCACCAACUUUGCUAUAUAGCAUGCAGUAAAAAAUUAAAUGCAAUGUAAAAUACAAAAUCCAGGUGAAACGAGAUUCGCUAAUCAAGAAAAAUAAUUUUACUUUUUAACUAGGUGCGGUCCACAGCACGACAUAAUGUGCAAAGUUGUGACAUUCCCAUAUUGGAUGAAAAAAGAUCGUGUGCGAAUAUCUACGGACUAAGCACUGCAGCUAGUACUAAUAACUUGGGCUUUAGUAUUUCAAAAAUCUAAUAUUUUUUUUUUUUUUGAGAAAAGGCAGCGUGCUACUGCUUCAUUCAUUUGGAAAAUGAACUUGGCUACAAGGUGAGCCAGCCGAGGCCUCGGAAGGAAAAGGAAAAAGGAAGACACACUAAACUAAAAAAGAAAAGAAAAAAAAGGAAAGAUAGAUAACGGAAACAUCAACUCAAAAUACGGGCCGAAACUACGCCAAAAGUCUUUGAGGGUUCUAAUCUUAGCCAACAGGUACUCCAGCAGGCGUUUUGUCUUCUCGAAGAUUCUUCUGUUCCUUUCCAACCAGAGGAUCCACCAAGUAGCGGUAAUAAUCGCUAACUCUCUACCCCCUGUGCUCCUUCGAUGCUACCGCUUCCCUCCCAUAUCCCUUUGAUAGAUGCACAGUUACGUACGAAACGUUUGUUUGGUAAAAGUCUCUCCGGCAGAGCUUUGACACCGUCACAUUCUGCGAACAGGUGAUCCACCAUCUCCAGUUCCUCCAAACAGUAUACACAUCUGUCAUUCCCGCUCCAGUCCCUUUUCUGAAUAUUGUCCGCCGUUAGUACUUUAUUUUUCAAUAUUAACCACGCAAAAAUCUUGACUUUAAGAGGAGUUUGUAUCUUUCAUAGCCGCUGGCUGAAUCGUUAUGCCUCAAGUUCGCAAAUUAAGUUAUUGCUUAUAUCAUUGGUAGUGAGACCAAUUAAAGGGGUAAGCUACUGUUCUUUAGUUCUUCACAAUGAUUUCCGAGGAAGAAACUCGAAAAUCGGGACUUAAUUCGGACCUCCUAACGCCCGACUACCGCAGGACGUGCUGGUAAGUGCAUCAAUCCAAACAGUUGUCCAUAUACCAAUAGAAGACUCGGCUGCUACCACAGCUCCUAAGGACGUGCGAUAGGAGUAACCCAUUACCUUUGUGAAGAAAUGAUCAAAAGGACUGUAAUUGCGAGAGAAUUGGGAGUAGCUGGGCCAUCCUCAACUUGAACCAGAGACCUCCCCCGUGAAUUAAAUCAUCGCACCUACGACAUUCGACACGCGAAAUUUCUUUUCCGUUGGUUGAUACGACCUCCUAUCUGCACUGGACUAAUGAUUUCCAAUCCCGAAAAGUCACAUCUUUUUUUUUUUGAGAGAAUAGUACAAUAAUAAUAUUUUUCUAAUAACCAUGAUAGAAUUAGGGGUAGAACUAGGCCGGGCUUGGGUCGGAUAAUAUUAUGCCCAAGCCCGGCCCAAAAUAAAAUAUUGGGCUUCGGGUCGGGCUUUUUUCUAAUUUCUUUUGAAAAUUAAGGUUCGGCCCAAGCCCAAACACAAACCCAAUACCCAAUACACAUCGGGCUUUGUAAAGGCCCAUUUUACUCAUAUAUACAUAAAAAUUUUUAUUUGUAUAAAAUUAAAAUAAAAUACAUAUUUUUGCUGGGUUUGAUCACAUCAAAGAAAAUUAAUAUAUAACAUCAAAGAUAAUGCUAUUAAUAUCCACCAAUAUUUAUUCAUCAAUGAAAUAAGACCAAACAAAGAAAAUUAGUAAACUAAAACUAAGAUUUAGACAAAUAGAAGAUGUGCUUCAGCAAUCCUCACUCCUACUCCGAUAUUGGCAAUCAUACAAAGUAAAUAAUAUGAUAGAAAUCUAUUACUAUAUACUAAAGUAGAACCCUUUAUAAACCCUAUGUAAGAAACUGACACGUGGCUUUCUAUAUGCUUGCCACGUGUCAAGCUUAAAUAUAAAUAUAGAUUUUCUAAAUUAUAUAUCUAUUCAAUUUACUAUUCUAUGAGAUAUUGCGAAAUUCACGGAUAUUACGUUGCGAAAAAAUUGACGAGUGCGGAUAUUACGUGUGAGAAGAAAAAAUUACAUUUUUAAAUUCAAAUGGUAGGUGAAUUAAUGAGAUAUUGAGAAAAUGAGAUAUUGCAAAAUUCACGGAUAUUGGCAGGUGCGGAUAUUACUAUAUUUACUAUAUACUAAAGUAGAACCCUUUAUGAAUCCUAUGUGAGAAACUGACACGUGGCUUUCUAUAUGCUUGCCACGUGUCAAGCUCAAAUAUAAAUAUAGAUUUUCUAAAUUACAUAUCUAUUCUAUUUACUAUUCUAUGAGAUAUUGCGAAAUUCACGGAUAUUACGUUGUGAAAGAAUUGGCGGAUGCGGAUAUUACGCUUGAGAAGGAAAAACUAUAUUCUUAAAUUCAAAUGGUAGGUGGAUUAAUGAGAUAUUGAGAAAAUGAGAUAUUACAAAAUUCACGGAUAUUGGCAGGUGCAGAUAUUACUAUAUACUAAAGUAGAAUUUUUUAUGAACCCUUUGUGAGAAGCUGACACGUGGCUUUCUAUAUGCUUGCCACAAGUCAAGGUCAAAUACAAUUAUAGAUUUUCUAAAUCUAUCUAUUACUAUAUACUAAAGUAGACCUCUUUAUGAACCCUAUGUGAGAAACUGACACGUGGCUUUCUAUAUGUUUGCCACGUGUCAAGCUCAAAUACAAAUAUAGAUUUUCUAGGAUAUUACAAUAUACUAAAGUAGGACCCUUUAUGAACCCUGUGUGAGAAGCUGACACGUGGCUUUCUAUAUGCUUGCCACGUGUCAAGGUCAAAUACAAAUAUAGAUUUUCUAAAUCUAUCAUUACUAUAUACUAAAAUAGACUCCUUUAUGAACCCUAUGUGAGAAGCUGACACGUGGCUUUCUAUAUACUUGCUAUGUGUCAAGCUCAAAUACAAAUAUAAAUUUUUUAAAUAUGACUAGAUUGACAGUUAUAUCCAAAACAAAUUAUAUUGUAGAUAACUUUAUAAUAAGUAGGCAACACAGUUUUUUUUCUUUAUAUUUUCUUGAAGGCCAACAUCUAUAUAUUUUUGAGUCUUAAAAGUUUGUAUGUCUCUCAUAUGUAUGUGCUUACUCUAAUUUGUGUCAAAUAUAAAAGUUUAGUUGAUCUUAGUAUAUGCUUAAAUAUUAAUGUCAUUUAUAAUUUUUCAUAUCAAUUUUAGUUAUCAUUUUGUUUUGCACAUCAAUAUGUAAUGCAAAUUAUUUUGCACACCAAUUCAUAGAUAAUAGAGCAUGGUUGAAUUUUGCUUUUUACUUGAGUAUUUACUUUGGUCCAUAAUUUUUUUUCUCUUGCUUUUGUACUUUAAUACAAUAUACUAAAGUAGGACCCUUUAUGAACCCUGUGUGAGAAGCUGACACGUGGCUUUCUAUAUGCUUGCCACGUGUCAAGGUCAAAUACAAAUAUAGAUUUUCUAAAUCUAUCUAUUACUAUAUACAUAAAGUAGACCCCUUUGUGAACCCUAUGUGAGAAGUUGACACGUGACUUUCUAUAUGCUUGCCACGUGUCAAGGUCAAAUACAAAUAUAGAUUUUCUAUUACUAUAUACUAAAGUAGAACUCUUUAUGAACCCUGUGUGAGAAGCUGACACGUGGCUUUCUAUAUGCUUGCCACAUGUCAAGGUCAAAUAUAAAUAUAGAUUUUCUAAAUCUAUCAUUACUAUAUACUAAAAUAGACUCCUUUAUGAACCCUAUGUGAGAAGCUGACACGUGGCUUUCUAUAUACUUGCUAUGUGUCAAGCUCAAAUACAAAUAUAAAUUUUUUAAAUAUGACUAGAUUGACAGUUAUAUCCAAAACAAAUUAUAUUGUAGAUAACUUUAUAAUAAGUAGGCAACACAGUUUUUUUUCUUUAUAUUUUCUUGAAGGCCAACAUCUAUAUAUUUUUGAGUCUUAAAAGUUUGUAUGUCUCUCAUAUGUAUAUGCUUACUCUAAUUUGUGUCAAAUAUAAAAGUUUAGUUGAUCUUAGUAUAUGCUUAAAUAUUAAUGUCAUUUAUAAUUUUUCAUAUCAAUUUUAGUUAUCAUUUUGUUUUGCACAUCAAUAUGUAAUGCAAAUUAUUUUGCACACCAAUUCAUAGAUAAUAGAGCAUGGUUGAAUUUUGCUUUUUACUUGAGUAUUUACUUUGGUCCAUAAUUUUUUUUCUCUUGCUUUUGUACUUUAAUAUGUACUAGAAUUAAGAUUUAUUGUAUAUUUCUUUAUUUGUUAAAAAAAUAUAAUAUUAAUUAAAAUAUUUUUUUAUCAUCAUAUAAUAAAUUUUAUUAUUUUAUAUUAUUAUAUUAUUCAUGUAUCGCACGGGUCAAAUACUAGUUUCUUUAAAAUAAAUGUCAAAGGUUGAUUCCAAGUCAAUAGCAGGAAAUUUCUUUAAAAUAAAUGUCAUUUGGAAUUUCUCGUAGUUCCCUUGUACUGCCGGGAAAAGACUGGACUAAGUAAAAGCCACGCGCACAUCACUAUUAUAAGAUCUAAGGGCAGGAGGGGACUUUUUUUUUAUAAAAUAAUUUUUUAAAAUUUUAUAAUUUGUAAAAUAAUUCUGCCAAAUUUAUAUUUGGCAAAUUAACCCUUUAGAUUAUUUUCAAGAAGCGCCCCGCAUUCUCUAAUUUCUUUUAAAGGCUUUCUCCCUUUUUUUCUUUGUCUUUCAUUUUUUUUAAACGCGGUAAAUCAUUCGCCGCAUUUAUUAAAAUUAUGCGUGAAUUAUAUAGAAAAUAGAAAAAAAUAAAAUUAUUAGGAUUAUAUGUGAAUUAUUAAAAUUUUUAUUUGAUUAUUAGGAUUGUAUAAAUAAAUUAUUAGAAUUUUCAGACUGUUAAGAUUAUAUGAAAUUAUAUAGAUAGAUUUUUAGAAUUUUCAGACUGUAAAGAUUAUAUGAAAUUAUAUGAAUUGUAUGGAUAAAUGAGGUUGUUAGGAUUAUAUGUGAAUCAUUAGAAUUUUUAUUUGAUUAUUAGGAUUGUAUGGAUAAAUUAUUAAAAUUUUUAUAAAAUUAUAUGGAUAGAUUCUUAGGAUUUUCAGACUGUAAAGAUUAUAUGAAAUCGUAUGGAUAGAUUAUUAAAUUUUCAGAUUGUUAAGAUUAAAUAUGAUUUGUUAAAAUUUUUAAUGUAGUUGUUAGAAUUAUAUAUGUAAUAUAGAAAGAAAUAGUAAAUAAGCGAAAGACGGUGAAUGAUUCACCAACUUUGUGAAAAAUUAGGAAGGUGGUGAAUGAUUCACAAUCUUCAUAAAAAAUAUCCACCCCCACGCAUACUUGACCAAAGGAGGAUUAGUUUUACAAAUAUAAUUUUGAUAAGAUUAUUUUGCAAAUUUUAAAAUUCUACUAGAGAGUUGUUUUAUAAAAAAAGUUUGCAGGAGGAAACUGGUGCCCCGGCCCAGAAUCAUCUCUUAUGAAAAGUAAUAAUUAAUAAUAAAAAUAAAAGAUGAAUCAUGAAUCCAAGGAAACAAGAGGAGACCCAUUACUAAAUACUCACUAACCGCUCCUGUGUAUAUAGUGUAUACCCAUCUAAAAAGCACAUAAUGAGGCACCAAGUCAGAUAUGAAUUUAUACAUACAUACCUGCGUUCAUCUACAUCUACUAGUGAACUCUCAGGCGGAGGCUUUUUUUUUUUUGUUUUUUUUGAACUCCUUGUUCAUGGCUGUUUGGAUAUGUAAAUUUUUUGAAUUUAAACACCCAGAACCCUGCCACUUAAUUGGUGGAGGUAGACAAAUUAAACCUUUCUUGCAUUCCCCUUCGUUUACUGCAAUAAAUCAAGAGAUUAAUUAAUUAACCUUACCCGCCAAAUUAGUUCUUCGAGAAAAUGGUAUGUUAAUGAAAAUUACAAAAUUCAUUCCCAAGAAGUUGGAGAUCCAUUGCUGGUUUAUACUGCGAUGGGAUUUCCAUCAGCGCUGCGAGAGCAAACUGUGCAUCCUUUCUGCUCUCGGGGAUUAACUCGACAUGAUCUCUGUGAAAUUAACAAACUAUAUUGUACCAAUGCAAAUAGCCAUGAUCUUUUUAGUACGCCAUAAUAGUAUAGUAUCUUAUUUUGUUCAGUUGAAACCUGAAAAUUACCCAAUGCACGACACGGUAGAUGUUGCCGUCAAAUUGCUUCAUCGUUGUCUCCCAUGGCCCAUCACCAACUCCAACCGGCACAAUUGAUAACAGGUAGUCACUGCAACAUAAAAUAAGUAGAGAUAUUACGUUAGUUAAUAACCCAACAGAGUUACACAAACAAAGACCAACUUCACCUUCCCCUUUGCAGGACGGUUCAACUUUUGAAGGGUAUAUGCAAACAUAUGCCUUUUCCAUGAGUCAUUGUUCUAACAAUUAUUGUUUACCUAGCCUUGACGAUGGCAUUUACAGCGCCAAGCUCUUGUGAACUUAUCUGGCCACGAUCAAUGUCAACACUGCGUACUACGUAAGAAAUUUUUCGCUAGGACUGUAUCAGCAAUGAACAACAAUUCUUUAGUCAAUACAUGCAGACCGCUAUGAUAUAAAAAGUACAAACUGAAACAAGUAUACCAGGAUAUUAUAAUGCAUCUUAUAAACAGAAAAGGAGGAUAAUUUCAAGGACAAACCUGCCCAUCUGCUAUUAUAAGAAGAACACGGUAUUGGCCAGCACUAUUGUCGACAAUGCUGAUGGACCAGCUCAAUAAUUGGUGCAAAACAAGUUGGUCCUAUCAGUGCAGAUUAAACAACUUGUACACAAUGAAUGAUAAGGAUCUUAAUAUUAGAAAGAAACAAUAGAAAGAAAUGUACCGACCGGCGAGCGGAAGAUGUGGUACUAUUUCUCUAUAUCGUAGUAGUGGGUCUUCAAAUCCAUUGCAUGGUCGAUUGUCUGGAUAAAAGCUAAACAUCUCCUGAUCAUGGGUGGAUGCUGCAGUAUAGGGUGAGAACUUCAUAACCUAUACCAGGGUGAGAACUUCAUAACCUAUACCGCAAUUAGCCUUGCCGACUAAUGUGUAAGAUAAGCUGACAUUAAAGAUCUCCAGAUCCAAAACAAGGAAUGAGGUUAUCAGCAUCAAACUUUGCAAGAGUCCUUACUAUGAUAGAAAUAUCUUGCUUGUAUGGGGGUUUGGGGCAUGUCCCAUGGCAUGCAAACUCCGAUGGAUGAAAGAAGAUUUACCUGUUGACAAUCGGCAUUAACCAUACAUGCUUUUUUCUUUUUUGAAAUUUAGUAUGCGAUCAGCAUACAUAUUUGAGUUAUUCAAAAGCUAAUUGAAUGCCAUCUAGUAGAGUUUCCUUUGUUUAGUGACAUUGAGUUCUUCCUAUUCUUUUUAUUUAUUCCUUGAUAUAUGAGGAUUUAAGAACAAUUUGCAACGAUCAAUGGAAAACGAAACCAUUAUAUUGGCAUAAAAAUAUGAAAAUAAAGGUAUUAGAAGACAGAAAGAUGUUGUCAACUUCAGAUAAAUAUGGAGCCAAUAAUUAGGAAACAGACCGAAAUACAUUUUAGAAUGUAAAAGCAGAAAAAUAAGAAAACUAGUGUAUGCUUGAAUGUCACAUUAAUUUCAGCAUGGUAAUUCUAGCAUAAAUGUGUUCUGUGUGAUAAUAACAAUCAGAGUAUGUUAAAUCACAGAAAAGAAAAUAAUUAUCCCCUAAACUGAGAAGCACUUCAGCACUAAAGUUCAUAUCUACAAAAUUUGGGGAACCAAGAAGAAAAAAAUUAUUUAAAGAGAUGCUUCCACUUUGCCUGAGGUUCCACAUGUUCCUAAAGCUGAUUAAGAUGAUGAAUAGACAAAUUACACAGUUCAGAAGAAACAAAACUGUCUAUUUGUUGCUAUUUGUAAAAUCAAUCAAAAUUUGAAUGUGUCGUUUAUCUUUACAGGUUUAGUUAGUAUAUUCAUGCAAUUCUCGCAACUAUAACUUUAUUAAAGUAAUUGAUUAGUUUAAAUUUUGAAGUCAAAAUACUACAGAGAAACUCAAAUAAAAAAAUUUUUGAAAAAUUGUAUACUGAAAUAAAAAUUUUGAAAGAUUGGAUAGCCCAAUCAAAAUAGUAUGUUUUUAUCCAAAAAAAUAAAUCAAUGCAUCUACCUAAAUUGCUUGAAUCUGCACAGAUGCUACAAAACAAGAAAGGUCACCAGCGAUGCAAGAAAAAGAUGGAUCAAAAAUACAAAUUUGUGCAUUAUAAGCAGGAAGAAAAGAAAAAGAGAAAUUGGAGUACCAAGUACCAACGCAAUCAAUCGCCGCAGGAUCUCCUCCUUCGCACGAGUCCAAUGGUGGCUUCGUCUGCGCUUGAUCUCCAAAACCAACUUUUUCUUUUUUUAUUUUAUUUAAUUAUUUACUAUAAUUAUAAUUGAAGGGAUUUUAAUCUUUAUAGUGCACCCUUUAUCUUUUACACCCCAACGAGUGUAAACAUACAUCGUAGGGACACCGUGAAGUGUGCGGCCCACGUGCCAAUCAAAGGAAUUACAUAAAGGUUGGUGAGCUUUUAAAGUACAUCUAUCUAAUUACAGAAUUAGAUGUACAAUCAAAGGAAUUACAUACAGGUUGGUGAGCUUUUAAAGUACAUCUAUCUAAUUAAAGAAUUAGAUGUACACACUCGCCCGCUGCCGUUCAUUCACAUGUUUAAGGUAAGUAGGUGAAGGGGUGAUAUUUUGCGAGAGAUCUUUAAAGUGCAUACAAAACAAUACUUAUUUCUAAUUUAAAAGCAUUACUUAUCUUUAAUUUAAAUAUAAUCAAUUAGGAUGAUUCUAAGAUUCAUAAACAUUAUUCUAUUCUUAAAGUCAACUAGAAAGGUAUUGGUGGGCCCAAUAAGGAUUGGGCUUCCUUUUUAAUGUCACACACCAUGAACAAUCCUUUGAGGUCCAUAUAUAUAUAUAUAUAUAUAUAUAUAUAACUAGGCUACUAUACUAUCGAUAGCACGGAGCGCUCCGUGCUACCAAGUUGUUUUCGAUGAUGCGGCUUCCAAAUCGACGAUCAGCUCCGUUGGACUUGAUCUUGCUCUAAAUAGUGAAAAGAAUUUUCUAUAUUAUAGUCUAUAAUAUAAUAGACUAUCGUUAGACUUGAUCUACACUAUUGAAAGUAUUUGAAAACUAAAUUUCAGAUUUUUUCGACAUCAUUUGACUAGUAAUCAAAAGAUCUCAAAAUUGACAAUUUUAAUGGCCGAUGUGGUGUGUUUGUGAGUUUAAUGGUGUGAAACAAUCCAAAUGCGAUAAAAAUUUUAUAGAAAAUUCUUUUCACUAUUUAGAGUAAGAUUAGUAUAUUUGAUCUUGAAUUUAAAUCUUAAACUCAUCAUUUUUCAUGAGAUUUUUACUUUCAGCCGUUCAAUUUUAGACUACUUAUUUGAUAGGUAAAUGAUAUUGAAAAAUUAUGAAAUUUAGUUUCUAAAUACUUUCAAUAGUGUAGAUCAAGUCUAACGGAGCCGAUCGUCGAUUUGGAAGCCGCAUCAUCGAAAACAACUUGGUAGCACGGAGAGCUCCGUGCUACCGAUAGCAUAGUAGCCGGACUAUAUAUAUAUAUAUAUAUAUAUAUAUAACAAUUAUGACAAGAUUUACCAUGCAACCCAUGAUAAUUGGAUGCAAUUAUGUAAAUAUUUGAAACAAGAUACCAUGAAAUAGUAGAGAAUAAAGAUAAGACAGUUGAAUUCAAGGUGCUAAUAUAUUGAGACAAAUUUAUUAAAUUCAGUAAAACAUAAAUUACAUUUCAGCAAGACUUAUUAAAUUCAAGGUACUAAUGCAUUGAGAUAAAUUUCCUAAUAUAUAUAAGAUAUUUGAAUGUAUUUUUCAGAAUGCAGAUAACUAAAGAUAUUUCAUCAAAAUCCCAUAAAAUAGUAGAAAAUAAACAUUUAUUAUUAUGUAGAAAACAAAUGUUAGUAGAAAACAUGCCUGAGUUAGUAGAAACUUCAACUAGAUUACACCCACAUUAUUUUUUGGCAAUAUCACGUAAGCUGACCAAAUCAAUGAGCAUAUGAAGUCACUUUGAUAGCAACAAACGAAGCAUUGCAAAAGAAUAUGAUUAUACGAACCUCAGAGUGUAUGUCCUUUCAAUACAUAUUUCUUUAUCAUCCUCCGUGUUUAUCCCUAUCAAAACAAAAAACAAGAAGAUAAAGAAAAGAACAAGACAAUGAAUAAUAAUAUAAUCUAGGAAACUUUGAGGCAAGGAGAGCAUAACUGUUCAACAAAACGAACGCCUCACAGUUCUGAAUUGAUCUUGCUAAACCAGAAAACACUUUCAAAAACAAUUUGCUAUAUUAGCACUAACCAAGAAAUGAAAACUACCUGAAGGGAAAUAAAUAUGGCUGAAUCAGCACUGUAGGUCUGGAACGAUUAUCCAAUCUAUAUCUCAUAGCUCAAUCUCCACAGAAGAUGGUGGUGCAGUGCAUAGAUGUUUACACACAGAUGUGCAUUGGAUGCAGACAAUAAUUAACACCGAUAAAAUGAAUUGAAAGUUUAGAAAGCAAAGGCUUGGAAAGUCGUAUUUUGAAUAAUUUAAAAUUCAGCUUAAUUCAAUACAUUUUUACCAGAAAAUCAGCAAACUCUGUUUUAUAAGCAGUUAAAUAUAUAGAAACAAGAACAGCAGUAGAAAUCCUAGGAAAGCAAAUAGAUAUGGCAUCCACCAACCAGCAGUAACUCAUGUAGUAUUUAUUACAUAUAUUCAAAAUACUGCAAUUCUCUGAGGAAAACAAUUCUAGGUGAAAGUUGAGAUUUGCAUCCCAAUAAGGAAGCUAAUGAGAAAGAUCAAAAUGAUCAUCCCAGCAGCCAGUUCGUCAGAUGAGUUUGAUCCCUCCUGGUAUUCCAUUUCCAUCUGGGUACAUAAGAAGAACAUAAAUGUUCAUGAGAUUACAAUCAUUAGAUAUAGAAUAAACUUUAAAAAAGGGCAUUGCAGUAUUCUCUUAGAAUUUGGGCGUUGUCGUAUUCUCAUUAGGAUUCAGGUUUAAAUCGAGUUUUAAUCUAAACACGACCCUUAACCCAAAGCCAAGCCCAAAUUCUAAGAAAUUUUAGUCGUCUGUAAAUAGAGAUCCAAUCUAAACACAAUCCGAACCAUUAGUAUAGAUCAAAAUCUAAUCCAGAUUCAAAUUUUAAAGGGCCUAACAGAGAGAUCCUUACAGACACAAAUAGCAAUCUCAAUGCACUGAAGUGACGUGAACGAAAACACGGAGCCUGAUGAGAAAAUUCCCUAUCCCAUACAACCUUUCUUUUUGAGAUUUACUCUUAAUAUAUACCCUACAGCCUAAAAAAAAGGAUAAAAAAAAGUGCAGAAAGAAAGAAGAAAAAAGAGAGAUAAAGAGGGUAGAUACACAUAACAGGAGAAUUACUGAGCAGUCACAAAUUUCUUGUUGCAGCAGAAAAUGAAUACCUCAACAAUCAACAUCUUCAAUAUAGGGAUUAUAUGGAUUCACAUAUGAUCUGACAAAAUUACCACUGUCUAUGUUUAAUGUCUUGGCAUUCUGGUCAAGUAUGUCCCACAUGUUACAUGUUCUUAUAUUUUCUCGACCAUAAACCCAAAUAUCAGAUUCAAUAAUCCAAAGUCAUAGUAGCCAGGACCGCUUUAAGGGCUUGUUUGGUUCAUCCAUUUUGGGUAUGGAAUGGGAAUCGAUUUGAUCAAAUCCGGUUAAUUUUGUUUGGUUCGCAUGAAUCGGUUUGGGAUUCCUAUUCCGGACUGGAAUGGGAAUGGCCCAUUAGCCUUCAACUUGAUUCCGGUCUUCUAGCCCGGAUUGAGAUUUCAUUCCGAAAGCCCACUAAGUUCUCGAAGCCCAUGUGACCAUCUCACCCUCCUUCUCUUCACCCCUUUCUCAUAAAAAUAAAAAAAUAAAAAAAAAAAACCUAUCCUCUCUCAAAACCCUAUCCCUAACCCACAUCAAUAAAAAUUUUUAAAAAUAAAUUUGAUAUUUUUUUUGGAAAACUUAUUAGAGAAUAGUAUUAUAUUUUUCAUAAAUUUUAAAUAAUAUAAAUUUAUAUUUGAGAGUAAAAUUAGUAUUAUAUUAUUCUAUAAUUUUUUUAGUUUAUACGAACCAAACAAUGAAAUGUGAAUAACUCAUUCCAAUUCCCAAUCCACAAAUAAACCAAACGUCUUGGGGGAAUAGGCCAUUCCAAUUACCAUUUCAAUUCAUUCCCAUUCCAUUAUCCAUUCCAAUUCCACCCUUGAACCUAACAAGCCCUAAAAUUGAAUCACUUCCAAUUCUUCCAUUGAACCAACAGUUAAUCUAAGACAGAUAUUC
rnacentral:lncRNA from 1 species